rnacentral:lncRNA from 1 species
UUUUCCACUAUUUUAUUUUUAUUUUAUUUUUUAUUAUGUGUGUUACUCUCUUUCUCUCACUUGUCCUCCAAUCAUAUUAUCUCUCUCUCUUUCUUUCUCUCUCUUAAAACAAUUUCCCGGCGAAAGAGAAGGAAUGAAAGAACAAGCAAGCAAGUAGAUGAGUAGAAGAAACUGCAAACUUAUUAAUAAUAAAUAAGAAUCUUAUCUAUUAAUUCAAACUCUUUCUUUCUUACGUCUCUCUUUCUCUCUCUCUUCUGUCUUCAAAAGAAUCUACCUUAAAGAUCCUUUUUUAUUUUCUCUCUUCGUGUCUAAUGAAAAAUUUCUUUCUAACUGUUUUUAAGAAAUUUAGGGUUUUAUAACUAUAAUUUUUUUGGUUUUUUUUUUCUCUUUAAUUUCUUCUGCUGAUCGCGGAGUUUUGUUCUUAGAGCUAUUUAUUCUGUAAAGUUUGGAUCUUUUGCGAUUUUUGGUCUGGAACUGUCACUGAUCGCUGUAAUAUUCCAAUUCGUUUCACCUUAUAUUGAGGUAAGAUUAGUUUUUUUGUUGGGUUUUUUUGGAGUUUGCUUGUUUAGUCACAAGUUCAGUUGUUUGAUUACACUUUUUUUCUUUUUCUAAGUAGUGGUACUGAGUGAAGUUAAGGGAUUUAGAAUCAUCUCCAUUCUUCUGUAAGUUUCUAUUUGGGGUUAUAAUUUUAUUCUAAUUGUGCAGUUUUCUGACUAUAAUUCACUUAAUUUAGAGUGAUCAUUGAUGUUUAGUUAAAUUUGGGUAUUUUUAAUUGCAAUCCAGCUUGUUUGUUGCGAGAAAUAGCAACUUUUAGAAACUUAGAAUCAAUUAGAGUGGUUGGAUUGAUCUAAAAAUUUAUAGUUUUAUUACACUUCUUCCCUAUCUUCCAGAGUUACUAAAAUACCUUUGUUUAUUUAGUGGAAAAAAAAACUAAGGAUUUUAUGAAAAUACAAAUUAGGAGUUUCUAGACCUUGUUAAUUUCCCCAGACAAAGUAGGCUAACCGAGUCACAAAUUUUUUGUCAUAUCUGUCUUAAAUGUGAAAUGUUAUUGUAUUUAAGUAUAAACAUUGUAAUUGGUAGACAAAGCAUAACCAUUGUUUAUAUUCUUAAGUUGAAUUAUGGAUCUAGACUCUAGAGUUCAUGAACCUUUAUCCCUCAAAAGUACUAGAGGAUUCCAAUUGUAUUUUCAGAAUGAUAAUAAGCACUCUAUUUUCUAAUGUUUAAGACUAUUGCAUGCUUAUGAGUGUCAUCUCUAGAUUCGGGCACAAUUAAAGAUUAUAGUGUGAUUCAGUAGUAGAUGAUCAUGGUCCAGUUUCUUGCAUAGGACUUAAGUUCUUGAAAUUAUUAGUAUGUUAUGUUGUAAUAUUUACUCUUAUGUUUUUGAUAAAAUGUCUUUGGCCCGAGUUAGGUGCCUUUUGUUGUUUUCAGAUUAUAGUUAUAAGAUCUUAUUUAAAAAUCAUAUUACACAAUUCGUCUUAUGAAAUUACUUCUUCUACUUUUAACCGAUAACAUUUUAUAGCACCUUAUAAGCAUCAGAAAUUAAACAGACUCAAAGAUCUUAUAAGACUUCUAAAUUGAAAUACAAACACCCCAUCAGUCAGUAUUCUUACUUUUGCUGUUUGUACCUUUUGGAAUCUGUUAACUUCUUGAUGGGUUGACAGUUUAUUAUGCUUGUGGUAUAUUUUGUUUUUUUCCCAUAAAGUGUGUUAAUCCUUGUUUGCGCGCACAAUCAAAAAGUGACACUUUAUAAGUUUUUGAUUGUUCUUUUUGAAUAGCUUCUUCUUUUAUAAUGGAAGGUUAUGCAAUGUUGGAUUGAAAAUCUCCUUAUUGGGUGUGUUUCUUCUCUUUUUCUCCUCUGGCUGCAGAAGGUGAUGCGAUGGAGAAAUUUUCAGAGGAUUUCUUCUCAGUUAGCUCCAAAGGUACUCCAUAGUUUCAAUUACAGACUUGAACAAGAUUGUUUUGAAAGGUAUCAUACAUAGAGCUUAGCAUAAUCAGUCGUUUUUAACUUUUUAUGCUUGAUUUAUAGGCCCCUCGAAGAUUUCAACAGUUAGUGAAGUGGGAAAUGGGCCAUGGGGAAUUCCAUCAAGAGAUGCUUCCCAUGCAUCAAGUGAUGCAAGCCUGUUUUCGAGCUCUUUGCCCGUCCUUCCUCAUGAGAAGUGUAUGUAUAAAAUUCCUCAGCGCUUAGGAUUAUUUACUUGACAAUGCAUCUUGGAAAUUUCUUUAGCAAUUAACUGCAGGCUUGAUGCUAAUUACUUCCGUGUUUUUUUUUUUGUCGAGUUUGCAGUGAUCUUUGCAAAUUCAGAGUUUGGUCAAUCUGUUGAUGACUUGGCAACUAGAUUAAGUAAACUUCAACAAGAUGUAGAAGCUAAGGAUGCUCUUGAAGAUGUUGGUCCUCAUGCAAUCGGAAGCUUGCUCCCNNNNNNNNNNNNNNNNNNNNNNNNNNNNNNNNNNNNNNNNNNNNNNNNNNNNNNNNNNNNNNNNNNNNNNNNNNNNNNNNNNNNNNNNNNNNNNNNNNNNNNNNNNNNNNNNNNNNNNNNNNNNNNNNNNNNNNNNNNNNNNNNNNNNNNNNNNNNNNNNNNNNNNNNNNNNNNNNNNNNNNNNNNNNNNNNNNNNNNNNNNNNNNNNNNNNNNNNNNNNNNNNNNNNNNNNNNNNNNNNNNNNNNNNNNNNNNNNNNNNNNNNNNNNNNNNNNNNNNNNNNNNNNNNNNNNNNNNNNNNNNNNNNNNNNNNNNNNNNNNNNNNNNNNNNNNNNNNNNNNNNNNNNNNNNNNNNNNNNNNNNNNNNNNNNNNNNNNNNNNNNNNNNNNNNNNNNNNNNNNNNNNNNNNNNNNNNNNNNNNNNNNNNNNNNNNNNNNNNNNNNNNNNNNNNNNNNNNNNNNNNNNNNNNNNNNNNNNNNNNNNNNNNNNNNNNNNNNNNNNNNNNNNNNNNNNNNNNNNNNNNNNNNNNNNNNNNNNNNNNNNNNNNNNNNNNNNNNNNNNNNNNNNNNNNNNNNNNNNNNNNNNNNNNNNNNNNNNNNNNNNNNNNNNNNNNNNNNNNNNNNNNNNNNNNNNNNNNNNNNNNNNNNNNNNNNNNNNNNNNNNNNNCCACCACACACACACACACACACCUUGUUUUCCCCUUAAAAUUAUUCUUUGGAUAUAGGUUUGCGUCACAGCUUACCCAUGUCUUGUGAGAAGAAUCUUAUAGUUUUUUUUUUUUUUUUUGGACAGACAAUAUUGUUAUUUAAGAAUUUAUUAGUAAGCAUGUCAUCUGAUGUCACUUGUAUUUCCUUUUUUAUUUGCAGCAAUAUGGUGCCAUCAGGACACUUUACACUGCAUGCAAACACAGGGGUUUUGUGAUGAUAUCUUAUUAUGACAUUCGGGCUGCUCGGACAGCUAUGCGUGCAUUGCAGAAUAAGCCCUUGCGUCGGAGAAAACUUGACAUUCAUUUUUCUAUCCCAAAGGUUUAUACUUAUUUUAGCUGUUCAAUUUUUAUCGAUUCACCUUCAUUUUUCCAUCUCCUUGCUUAAACACAUCCUUUGCCUACUCUAUUCCAGGAUAACCCAUCAGACAAGGAUAUUAACCAAGGAACGCUUGUAGUUUUUAAUUUGGAUCCCUCCGUUUCAAAUGAUGAUCUCCGUCAAAUUUUUGGGGCUUAUGGAGAAGUCAAGGAGGUGCUAUGUUCUGCAUUUUUCUUACUUGUGUUUUCGUGUAAUUGAUCUUCCAUAUAAUUUUGUUUUUAUUUAAGUCUAUUUUGAUAUUCCUUUGUUUCUUAAAAAUGCAGAUUAGGGAGACACCCCACAAGAGACACCAUAAAUUCAUUGAAUUUUAUGAUGUUAGAGCUGCAGAAGCAGCUCUUAGAGCAUUAAAUAGAAGUGACAUAGCUGGGAAGCGCAUAAAACUUGAACCUAGUCGUCCUGGUGGAGCACGCCGAAAGUAUGUAUACACACACUCUGUUUUGGUUAUAAGCUAGAGCUUGUUUUCUUCCUCAGUUAUGUGAGCUCGUUUUGUCAGAAGAUAUCCUUAAGUUUAAAGUUAUAGUAUGAUCUGGACUUGCUUCUUUCGUUUGCAUUCGCAUUUGUUUUGUGUUAUCAAAUCUUGGUUUGGUCUAGUCUUGAUUGGGUUCCUGUGUGAGGUUUACAAAGUUCAAUAUAUCAGUUUAACUGUAAAAAAUGGUCACUGGGCUCAUUGAAGUCUUUUGCAAUAAAAAGUGGCAUGUUGCUUUGAUUUUUUUUUUUCGCAAUUAUUUUUGAAUCCCAGUCGCCCUUGCUAAUCCCAUGAAAAUUUGAGUGUAGUAACCCCUCAGCCACUGUCCUCUUCCCCUCAAAGAAUUUAUAAUGUAUAAGUCAGUCGUACCACAUGCAUUUUCAUAUACUGUAUAUGUUUUCCUUUAUCUUUCUCUUAAGGGAGUUAUUUGCUCAUGGAAGCAAAAAUGCAUAAUGUAUUAUCUUUAUACUUUUUUUUUUUUUUUUUUUUGAUUGGCAAGCAAGGUUGAGGGGACCCUUACCCCUUUUAAAUUACGUGUGGAAACUUAUAUCAACAAUCAGCUGUUGACGUGUUUCGAACGCACAACCUCUCCACUUCGUGAGAGACUGAGAGGGGUGCUACCAUUGAGCCACAGGCCCAUUCACAUUAUCUUUAUACUUGCCAACUGUUAGGAUAAUUUUAGUUACCGCUAGAACCCAAAAGCUUUGUUUUAAAUCUAGGCUGUGUUUGGUUCACCGGAAAACAGAUUCCGUGGAAAGGUAGAACAAUUACAUAUAUUUUAGCUGUUAAUAGGGAAACCAAAUUUCGGAUUAUGAUUCUCUCCCUCAACAAAAUGGAAAGCGGUUUCCUUAAACUAAAAAAGGAAACCAAAUUCCAGGGUUUAUCGUAAUAUAAUCUAAGUUCAGAUAUUUACCCCUGAAAUCACUCCUUCUUCUCCAGUCUUCCCCCUUCAUAUCUCUUUUAGUUUCUACUAUUCUCGUCUGAAGUAUGACAGUUUCCUUUUUUUGCGCCGGAAUCUGUUUUCCGGCCUGGCAACCCUAGUCUAUGAAGGGUAGAUCUAAAUUUGAGAGGAUGUUAUCUAUUCUACUUCCCAAUGAAUCAAGAGUUAAGCUGAAGCACACUAACACAGGAAAAUAGAUGGUUUGACCCCACACUUUUCCUGGCUGUUUUCACUUUACUGUCUAGCAUUCUGCUUUUUCCUUGCUACUCUUGGCUUCAAGUCCUGACUUAUCAUUGAGGUAAUGAUUGGACUGCCAUUUUCCAGCUUGAUGCAGCAAUUGAGUCAGGAGCUGGAUCAAGAUGAAACCAGAAGUUUUCUGCAUCAAGUUGGUUCACCAAUAGCCAAUUCUCCUCCAGGUAUAGUUUCCUUGGUGCUUUAGGGAUUAUUCUUUUAUAUGACAUCCCAGUGCUGUUUUUCUUUUUUUGUGAAUGUAACUGUAUCCCAAGCUAAACUUGGCGGAUCUUUUAUGACAGGUAAUUGGGCACAAUUUAGCAGCCCAGGUGACCAUAGUCCUUUGCAAGCUCUUAGUCAAUCUCCAGGUUUGAGAGCAAUUAGCCCAAUGAACAACAACCAUUUGCCUGGUUUAGCUUCAAUUUUGCCAACCCAAUUAUCAAACUCUGUUAAGAUUGCACCCAUCGGCAAGGACCAAGGAAGAAUUAGCCACACUGACCAGGUAUUUGCCAAUAACGGUUCACCACAUGGUGCUGCUUUUCCUCAUUCUCACUCCUAUCCAGAGCCAAACUUGAGUGCUAGUCCUGGAACGGUUUCUUCUUUUGGUCCAUCUACUUCAAACACUUCUGGUAUUGGGACAUUGUCUGGCCCCCAAUUUCUCUGGGGCAGUCCUACUCCUUAUGCAGAGCGCACUAAUUCUUCUGCAUGGCCAGCAUCAUCCAUUGGACGCUCUUUUACAUCUAAUGGACAGGGACAAGGAUUUCCAUUCUCAGGUCAUCAAGCUCCUUUUUCGCACCAUCAUGUUGGAUCUGCUCCAUCUGGAAUUCCUUUCGAAAGACACUUUGGCUUUUUUCCCGAGUCUUCGGAAGCAUCUUUUAUGAGCCCUGUUUCUUAUGGAAGCAUGGGUGUCAGUCACAAUGAAGGGGGUUUUAUGAGGAAUGUUGGUGCUCGUUCUGCUAUGAGUUCUGGAGUUGCUCUUUCUGGUAAUAUGCCUGAUAACGGUUCCCCUGGUUUCAGAAUGAUGUCUUCCCAGAGGUUGAGUCCUAUGUUUCUUGGUGGUGGUCCGUACUCUGGACUGACAUCCAGCAUUGAGGCAAUGGCUGAACGUGGUCGAAAUCGGCGAAUUGAUAACAAUGUGAACCAGAUAGAUAGCAAGAAGCAGUACCAGCUUGACCUGGAUAAGAUUGUUAACGGGGAAGAUACACGCACUACUCUAAUGAUUAAAAACAUUCCUAAUAAGUAUGACGAAUGUUUGAUUUCUUUCUGAAAUAAAUUUAACAUAUUUUUGGAUCGAGGUAUUGAAUUCCUUUAUGACAUUUGUCUUUGUUCAGGUACACAUCAAAGAUGUUGUUGGUUGCAAUUGAUGAAAAUCAUAGGGGUACUUACGAUUUUCUGUAUUUGCCGAUCGAUUUUAAGGUAAAUAAUAUCUAUAUUGAGCUUCAGGAUGGUUUCCUUCAUUUGGAUUUUAACUAAUGGUUUUGGUUGUUUGUGACUGCAGAAUAAAUGCAAUGUGGGAUAUGCCUUCAUUAAUAUGGUGUCUCCAUCACAUAUCAUUCCCUUUUAUCAGGUUUGAAUUACAGUAUCUUGGAACUGGUUGUUAUUUAGAUGUUUUUUCACUCACAUAUUGUGGAGUAAACACCUUGGAAAAACUUACAAAUUAGAAAUUUAGAUGGCCUGAUGCAAGUUUGCGUUGCUUGUGCAGGCAUUCAAUGGGAAGAAAUGGGAGAAGUUCAAUAGUGAAAAGGUUGCUUCACUGGCCUAUGCCCGGAUCCAGGGGAAGGCAGCUCUUGUUACCCACUUCCAGAAUUCAAGCUUGAUGAACGAAGAUAAGCGUUGCCGCCCAAUUCUCUUCCACUCAGAGGAAGUUGGUAAUCAGGUAACAUAGUUAUUUUUGUUGCCUUGUUGGUUAGCAAUCAGGUAACAUGGCUGUCCGAAAUUCUAUUAAUUGAAAUCUAUAUGCUGGACUUGCUUUGAGCGACCAACACAAGACCCCAAACUCAUAUUAGUUCUUUCUUGUUAUAUUUAUUAUUAAGAAAUAUGGGCUAUACUGGUUUAACCAAGUCAAAACAUGUUUUACUGUAGAUCAUUCAAGAGCCAUUUCCCUCCAACAACUUGAAUAUUCUUGUGAGGCAGCCAGAUGGAUCUUAUAUGGGCGAUUCCCCAGAUAGCCCUAGAAAUGAUGAGUCAGAUGAGAGAUUUGCAAAUAACUAAGCGUGUUUCCGAAGCAGGUCACCUUAUCUCAAGAUAAGGUGGUUGAUUUCUAAUUGUGGUAUAGAUAUUUCGGCUGUACAAAAUUGGGUGUGAAAAACAAAAAAAUGAUAGAGACUGAGAAAAUAGCGAAUCAAAAGAUGUACACAAUAGGCGGUGUCCACUUUUUAACUUAUGGAUGCGUGAAAGUGUGGUCUAAGAAAGCUGUGAAGUUAGUAGGUGUGUUGUUUUGUACUUUUGUGCAGGGUGUUUUGUACUUUUGUGCCGGCAGGAGUUGGAGAAAAGAGAUGAAAAAAGAAAGAAAAUGGAAUGGAGGUCUACUGAUGGUUUAUUUCCCUGUCUGGUCUAUUUUGCUAAGUAUUUUAGGUGGUGGCGUUAUUUGCAAAUAUGAAUACAUGUUUAUAUGGGUCUAUGGGGGAGACAGUUUUAGCAUUAUAGGGUUUAUGAUGUGGAUCUGCUUAUCAAAAUUGUAUAGCGAGGAGGGUAACAGAUCCUGCUUUUAUGUUUUCAUGUGUAAGAAUGCUGUCAAACUUGAAACUUGAACAGAUUUGUAUUUAAUGACUAAUGUGACUGAACAUUUUGCAUUUCAGACCAUUGCCUUGUACUAUUUGUCUUUUUAGAUGAUGUGAAUGUUAUGGCAAUUUUUUAUUUUUAUUAGCAAGUAAUGAUAUAAUGCCCUUCAAAUGUGUUGAAAGACAGUGUUCCCCUUAGCUUCUGCCAUUGGCAAUAACUACAUAAAUCUUUUCACUUUCAAAGAUGGCUUGGCAAUUAGCAUACAUUGUAGCAUUGGAAUGAAGAUUACUGUUUUUUUUUAGUCUAAUUCUUGAGAUUUUGUUAGCAUACACUCAUGUGUUCUUAUGCAGAAAUGUCAAAGCACUUGUUACAAACUUACAUCCGAUUUACUCCUUAUCAAAAACCUUGCCUCGUGAAAAUGCUUCUUGUACGCAAGACCCUGUUGCAAGAUAUUGUGGUCAGCACUUCUGAAUGUUUUUAUCAGUUGAGGAAAAAGGUAAAUAUUGUUGUUUUAGUAGAGAAAAAGCUUAAUAUUUACUAACAAAUUGCAGUUUAAUGGAUAAUCCAUCCAGUUGAUAAUUUUGAUGAUCCAUCAUUUGUGUAGAUUUCUUGUCAGCAGUAACUUUUAUAGCUUGUUAUAGUUUACACAUGAGCUGCAAAUAUCAUACUAUGAAAAUAAGAUAUGUCAAGCUUCAUUAGCCUUCUGGUUUAAAGCAGAUUCUGAUGCUGGAACAGUAAGAUUUUCCAAUAGCAUUAUACAUAUUAAAGCACACUAAGUGCAUUAUAACACAAUACCAACACAAUACCAAUGUCGGUUGUUUACAAAAACAUGGAAAAAAGUCCUUUGGACUCUCACUGUAGCUAGAAAGUAGACACUCGACACACAUGUUAAAGCACCCUAUGUACAUUAGGAUUAAAUAUCUAUAAUAGCAUAGAAUGUUUAAAGUGUCAACUCUCACUGUAACUAGACAUAGACAUGGUGUUGCUUGAGCCUUCUGAUUCCUUGCCUCUUCCUUUAGUGGUUUGAAAUUCAAUAUCAAUGAGAAAGUAACAUCUACUAGUUUCCCUAAUAUAUUGGACACUGCCAUUCAUCUUCCUUAAAAUUUUACAUGCAGCUCUUAAACCAAAGCCUUCUUGUGAAACAGAUUUAUUUUCUCCUUGGAACAUCUCUUGGACAAUCUGCAACGGAAGUCCUUGGCCGGGGUGAAUCAUUCUACAUGCACAGGAGAAAAAAAUAAAAAUAAAUAACAAUCAGCAUUAAACCUUGGAGUCGAUCCCCCCCAUCAAGUUGUGAGUUCUAUAUAAUUACUAAAGGGUAGAAAAUAGAGAAGAAAGUGUUGAGAGAUGUGAAGAAGGAAAAUUGCAAUCAACCAAAAGAGGAAUUGAGGAAAUAUUCAUAAAAAAAGAAGAAGAUAGUACCCAACCAAAUUGUACUCAAACUAAUUAAACAAAAUUACAAAAUAAUAAUGAAUACAAAAAGAAAUGGGACUUAUUCAGGUUGGUGGGAAGAUUGCUCUAAAAUAAAGAACAUAGGUAACUAAAUACAGUCAUUCUCUAAGAGAACACCUACAAAGUUUAGUGCUUCUCAAGCACAAUAAAUAUGAUAAAGCUGGUUUUAUUACUAUAGCUGCAGGAUGAUCAAGUCCAUCUCCUAACUGUAUCACUUAGAACAUAAUCUGAAAAAUUAAAUCUAGCCUUUUCAAUUUGCAAGUAAAUCUAACUAAUGAAUUGUGUACUAAAUAUGUUGUACCUGAACUGAAGAUGCACAAAGUCAUGUCCAUCCCGUAUCAACUUUGAAAUCUCAUCAACCUUGACUUCUACAUGACCCUCUGAAGAUUGAGUAUGAUGAACCAUAUUCAUCAGGAAAUUGGAAAAAACUUGCUGGAGUCUGAUUUGAUCACCAUAUAGAGAUAAUGAUUCGAUCUCUUCUGAUAUCUCAUGCAUUAGGUGCAGAUCUUUUUCUAACAAGAAAAUCAUCACUUGGCUAAUGACCGCAUUGAUCACAUUUUCCAGAAGAAACAAAUCCAUAUUUAGCUCCUGACAACUGGUAGACAUUAAAAAGUAAUAUUACUUUCAUUAGAACAACACUAGUAAAUUGAUGUUCCACUGAAAAUCAUAUUGGAUAUGAAAUAUUAGAAGAGUGAUACAAUUCUACUUACCCAUCUCCAAUACUUCCAAUAUUUACAGCCUCUAGAAUUGCUAUCAUCUGCCUUUCACAUGCAUCACUCGUCUGAAAAAGUUGUUUUUGAUCAUUUGAAACUUGAGUACUUUCCAGGAGUUUGUGAGUAAACCGUAUCCCUCUCAAUGGAUUUUUUAUCUCUUGUCGAAUGUAUUCGAAAUCCUUAGAUCUUGAAGAGUAAUCUAUUUCAUUCAAGUUCUGAUGUGUAUUACGUACAGUUUGCAAGAAGCAGAAACAACCAACAACAUGUCCACCCCUAUCAAUCCUCUUGUUUGUCGUUAAAACGGCCUCAACAUGUAUUCCUUCCCUAUCAAAGAAAGCGAAUGAGUACUUUUCAUCAUCUUGGCUGCAAAGUGUUUGAUACAGGAAAAUCAUGAGUUUGGUGAUAUCAUCUUGACUUUUGAGGCCACAAAAUUUUCCAAAGAUUUCUCCAGCAAGCGUCUUUCCUAUAACUUCACUCCUUCGCGAACCAGUCAACUGCUCCAUUGAUGUAUUCCAUUCAGAGCAUCGUGCAUUCUCGUCUGCAACAAAUAUUGGUGGAAAUAGCUUUGUAAUCCUCUUGUAGGCGGACAAACAUAUCCGUAAUCGCUCUCACUUCAGUGACAUCUUGACCUACAAAGCACACACUGACGACAUUGCCUGUGUUAUCUUUACAUGAGCAUACAUUUGUCACAAUAAAUACUGAUUCUUGUUCUUUCUGGCCCAUAGUCUUCAAUCUCAACUUGAUACUUUUGUCCUCCUCACCUAAUAUAAAAAUGGGACAACUUGUUAACAAUCAAGACUAUGGUGAAAUUGUAUCUAAAUAAAUAUUAACAAAUGAACAUGUGUAAAUCAGAUUGUUAGGAUAGAAGCAUACCUCGCAAAGCACGAGAUAGAUGAUGUUCAAAACUUUCACGAGAUUCCAAGUGAACAAGCUCAUUUAAAAGGCCUUUCCCCAUUGCAGAACUAGCAGGUAAGCCCGUUAAUUCUGAAAUUUUAGAAUUCCAUCGGUUGAUAUUACCAAUUGAAUCAACAGCAAAAAUUGGUGCUACUGCCAUCUCAAAUAAUCUAUCCAUCUCGUUUGCCACCAAAGUGAGUUUGUUUAUCUCUAAAUCAAUUCUUUUGCUAGGGACUGUUAUUCUAGUACUAUCGUUCUCCAUGUCUUGGAAAGAUUUCUCCAUAGCAUGCUGUAGCGAGUGAAUAGCAUUCAUCUCACAUGCCUCCCAAGGGAAACUUUUAUUCUUUACCACUUCAAGGAACGCUUGGAACGAUGAUCUGGGAUGCAUAUUCUUAUCAUCAUCCUUAUCCUUGUGGUGGUGCUUAGCUCCUCCCCAUCGUAUUUCUUGUUUUGUCCCAGACCUAAACCAAAGUAAGAAAUCUUUUGAUGUAAUCUUUGCUGAAGCUACGCCACAUACAACCUCACCAAGUGUAGAUGCAUUCGGGUAAUCAGCGUCGGCUAAACUAUUUGUACUACACACAGCUGAUUGUUUGUCAUUGUCAAUCAACCAACUGAUAAUAUCUUUUAUUUGUAAUUCAGUAGGUGUUACCCCCAAUACUCGACAAACCCCAUCAUAUAAAAAUGUAGCCCCAUUACAAUUCACAAGGUCCAUGAUAUUUGGGGAUCUAGUUACUAUCCCAAAUGGAACAUCCUUGAGGAUCAUAUCAUACAACAAGGCCUGUGUCUUCUGAAUCUUCUUCUCUGCCAUAUGAAAUAAAAAUUGUUGUUCCAUACUCAACUGCACCCCAAAUGCCUGCAUAAUGAACUCACAAGCAUCGCGAAUUGGAAAUGGAAUGUAACGAGGUCUAAGAUGGUGGCAAGAAACCAACCCCCACAGCUUCAAUGUGUCAUUCUCGUUAACAAUGAUUGCCAUAACUAGUGAAGCAUUCGAUCCCAUGUUUGCCAUGUAUUGUUUAUGACAAGCAUGGGGUGCUCUAAGUGUCGAAUUAACCAUCAUAAGAGGUUGUUCCAGCUCUUCACUCUGAAUAAUACCAACAUUAGCUAAACGGAAAUCACAAAUCAUUCUCACUCGAUUCUUCUUGAACAAAAACCGCGCAGCUUGAGGGAUAUCAAUAGCCGGAUAAUGCAACCCCAAGUAUGGUUCUAAAUCAGACCUCCUAAUCUCAGCCACGACCUCACCAUGUUCAUCCUCAUGAAACUUAUAAACCAUUACUCUAUCACACCCAAUAAGCUCUCUAACAUCUUCCACUACAGCAUCACAUAAUGCACCAACAUCCCCCCUAGGGAGUGACUGUAACCGUGAUAUAGCCUGAAGUGCAAGUUUCUGCCCUCGCAAUGCCCCCUCAACAGAAAAAGCAGGGUCACCCUUCCUAAUUGGUUCUAAAUCAAUAACAAUUCCCACAUCAACCUUAUGAAGUAUAGCAAGAAAUGGUAUUUGAGCACUUUCUGAAACAACAGAAACUGGAUUUGAAAAUGAAAUAUCUGGAGAACAAAGAGCUUUCAUUAAAGAUGCAGCAGAGGAUUUAGUAAAAAGUGUCCUAGCAUCAUAUCCAAGCAAACAACCUUCAAACUUAAUUGAUUCUACUAAAGUAUUAAAGCCCAACAAAUCACUUGUGUUUUCACUAUAAGCUAAAAUUCUAUAAGAUGGUUCUUCAAUAGCAAGUAAACAACCAAAAGACUGAAUAAAACCACCCCUUUGAAUCUUUGACAAGUAAGCAGUGAUUUGUUCUUUAGGUACUUCUUCAGGUGAAGAUUUAACUGAAUCUUUAUAGUUAAAAGCUUUACCUGAAUCAUUUUCAGAAUGUUCAAACUCAGCAAGAAGCCUUGCAUCUGCAUUAAAUUGCAAAACUGCUUCCUUACUAGUAUUUGGAUUAUUCAUCAUGUUUAGGUUUGAUAUGUUUUUAGUUCUGCACUCUAUAUUUAACUGUCCUUUCUUUGGUGAAUGUUGUUGGUGGGUUUUUUUUUUGAGUUCUAUCUCAGUUUUUGUCUCUGAACGGCUGAACCGACUAAAAGACUGAUGAGUGAAUAAAGACAAAGGCAUUUUUGGGUUGAUGCGAGUUAUGAACAGCCACAGGUCUUCCUUGUAUGAAGAGAUUUGGUCAUGGAGUUGUCUAUGUCUUCAUAACUGUCAAGUCUUGAAGUUUGAUAAAGUACAAGCUAGGUUCAGAAGCUCUUUUUAGGUUCUAGAAACAAACCAACCAAAUAACCAAUCAUCAAGAAAUAAGUGGCUUUCAAUAGUGACAUCCAUAUGGAUGUCUUGAAUAUGAAACUUUUGAGGUGAGAUGUCAUGUGAACUGAAGGUGCUUGGGUUUCAAGCAGAAUUCAAUGGAUAUUAGUUAGUGGAAUUAAGCUAAGCAUGUGAAGUGAGCUGAUCAUAUACCAAAUCAUAUUUAUAUUUAACUUUAUAUGGAUACAACAGUACAUGGGAUUGACAGAGUUGUUUUCUUUGCUCUCAGUGGAUGGAUAUAUAUAGAGAGAUAAAUUUAUCCUGUGUUGUUUACAUGUGAGCUGUUUUGGUGCUGGUGAAUGAGUUCAUCAUAAAAGUAUUGGGAAUGCUUGGUGUGUUGGUUACAUACUUACACCCAACUUCCAAUCUAAUCUGGUGUGUUGCCAACAACUUGUUGAAUUGGUGUGGUGUGUUAACAAUCUGUCCCAAAAAAUUUAAUUUGGCAUGAUACAAUCUGGGGACACAAAGUACAUGUCUACCCUAAGAUGUAUGUUAACAACAAAAAUAUGAGCAAUGAAGAUUGUUAAAACCUAGAAAAGUUAUGAGAAUAUAUGCACACCAUACACAUGUAUUAUUAUAUAAAAAGGCUUCAUGAAUCAACCUUCUAUGUAUUAUUGGGUCACAGUUUGUACAAAAAGAGGCUUCAUGAAUCAACAGCAUAAAAGAUUCUAUGUAUUAUUGGGUCACAGUUUGUACAAAAACCAAGUUUAUCCAUGAUUACAAUGUAUUAAAAGAUCUCAGUCAAUUGUAUUCUUUGGAUUCUUUUCCCCUUUCAUCCCUGAAACCAACUAAGGAAUUUGAACAAAACUUAAUAAAACAAAGGUUUCUUCGGCACAGCCACAAGAGAGACUUCAGAAUCUAUCUUUUUGGGCUAAAAUUAUCAUGUAGGUUAAAUAUCCUCAAUAAUUAGCUUCCCUAUAAAUGUCAUAUGAAGGUGCUUGGUUUCAUAAAAUUUUUAGUAGUCAAGCAAAGUGGUCAUAUGCCGAGGUAUAGCCCAAAGCACAUUCAUUCAUUUGCCUCAUGCACCAUUAACUCAUUUCAUCACAUAUCAUCUAAUCAAGGAACAAGACAACUCAGGUUUACUACAAUAUAUUGGAAAGAGUUAUUGCAACAUGCUAAUGUAAAUUGCAUAAACUAAAGGCUAGACACUAACAUGUCGGGGUGGAUGACAACUCGCAAACCAGUUCCUCCAUAUAUAAUGAUUUUCUAUCUGAAAACGAAGAAACAGGAAGGAUAAUUUUCAUUUUGCUCUAUAAGUAGUUAAACUACGGCAACAUAACCUUCUAUACUCCAGGCAUAGGAAACUGUGUGGUUAGAUCUUCAACUCUCCUUUGCAAAUCAGCAACACGAUCAAUUAGGGUAAAGUCUGGAGAUCCAACGAAAUUCAUAAAAUCUUGAAGCUUUGACCCUUUAACAGAUUUCUUUGCUUCAAGGGCAACUUGUACCCCUUCGUGAAUGAAGUCCGCAGUAGCUAUAAAGUCCCUUUCAGAGAAACCCCUUGUAGUCAUAGCAGGUGUUCCAAUGCGUAUGCCUCCUGGGACUAGUGCACUUUUGUCACCUUUGAGGAGAUCACAUACAAACCAAAAUGAAUAACAUAGACAGGCAGAUAGAAAUCCAUAUACAGAUAACAUUUUGAAAUGAUUAAAGAUUGCAAACUUAUAAACUCACCAGGCACUGAAUUUUUGUUUAGGGUGAUCGAAGCCAUGUCUAGAAUUUUUUCAACUCGAGCACCGUCAAUACCCUUUGCACAGAACAAGGAUGAAUAUCAAGAAGUAAUUACAGGACAAUGAGAUACUUAAAACCCAAAACCAGUUUUUCAAUAUUCUCUAAAGUUGUUUCACUUAAUUUUUUCCUUGUUUUAAUUAAUCAUCAAGUGGCGGAUUGGCAGAAGUACAUAACAUGAAACAGGGGUAACUGUGAAUCUGUGUAGAAUCUAUAUGUACCCCUACUACCCUAACAUUCCUUGGCCACUUAUCAUUUUCAAUCUCAAGGCGCCAGACAAGGCUCAAAGUUUCGCACAGUGCCAAAAAAAACCUUAAGACAGUAUCACAAUAUUUCAUAACCUAAAAAUAACAUAGCAUCCUAUUCCUAGUUAGCUACAUAAGUCCCAACUCGGAAAAUCUAAAAAUACAGUUGCCCCUAGAACACCUGAACUAGUGCUAAUGAUGAAAAAUAAGAGUAUUACUGUCAUGCUUCACGGAGCUAAAAAGUGUUAAUAUCACCACACGUACAUGUUUGUACAGUCAUGCUCUAUUGGGGGAGCUCAAUUGGGAAGGUUUUCAAGAGAAAAUUUGAUGCACCUAGGAAAGCAUGAGUAGGUCAAUACACUAAUUUGAGACACUGACUAGUAACUGUAUGGUAUAAGUUUAGCUCCUACACACUCUUUAGCAUUGAUCAUCUGUUUCUAGAAUCAUAGAUGAAAACACACUGACUCUCAGUAACCAUGACAAACAAAUGUUCACGAGUAUAACUUAAUUCGACUGGUUAGGGAGUUGUAAUAAUAGUAGUAGUUUUACAUUCCCAAAUAUUUGAAGUAUGAGAAACAGGAUAAGAGAAUUCAGCAUCUUACCAUAGGCCUAAGAUCCACUAGAACUAAGUGGUUAUCACUGCCACCAGAAACUAGUUUAUAUCCUAGCUCAAUCAAGCGACUGGCAAGAGCUUUACAAUUAGAAAUGACCUGAAUGUCCAAUCAGCGUAGUCAGCAUGAACUCAGACAGAUUCAAAUAGGAAAGAAAAUGAACUCCCUAUAUAAUGUUAAGCUUACUUGGCCUUGAUAAGCCUUGAACUCUGCAGUCUGAGCAUUUUUCAAAGAUACUGCUAACCCUCCAAUUGUGUGGUUGUGUGGACCUCCCUGCAUUCAGAUUGAUAUGUUUUGUUUUUAGGCAUUUAGCUGAACACGGUAGUUUAGCAAUGAAAAAAAGCCAACAUGGUUGCCAAUAUUAAUGAGCACAUAAAUAUCUAUUUCUAUGCGAGGACACAAGAAUGUUUCUUCCAACCUGUAAGCCAGGGAAAACAGCAUUAUUAAUGGCAGUUUCCAAAUCAACACCCAAAACAGUAUCUUUCUUGAAGAAGAUCAUACCACCUCUAGGACCUCGCAAAGACUGCAAGAAAAUAAAGGGUCCUCUAAUCAGGCAAUAUGAAAGGAUAAAAAAGAAGUAACAAAAAAGAACAUUACAACUAUCUAAAUUUUGACAGGAAGGAGAAACCUCCAAAUAAAGUUUCAAAACUGAAUUCAGCAAGGCGGUACCACAUAGUCUACAUAAUCCUCCUAGAGUCUUAGUUUUUGUUUAACAGGGUAAGAUAAUCUGUUAAAAGUAGGAGUACAAAUAGAUGGCACAAGAAAUGGGAAAGACUCGCAAUGAGCAAAGGUUGGUACCUAAGCAUUCAACUCUGAACUUUUCUUGCCUAUUACUAUUAUGGAUCAUUUGUUUAACCAAAUAAAAAUGAAAUAACUAAAAUACAUUGAAUAUUUUAAGAGCAUCGUCAUCUAAAACACUAACAUGAAUAUAGAAACAUACAAAAGACCAUUAAUUUUCUAGAUGGGUGGGCAAAAGAUUGCUUAAAUUGAAUUAGGCACGUUUAACAUUUAAGCUGAAGGAAACCUGUUAAUCGGCUGUAUUAAAGUGGUGAAGGUGAAAUUAUUCUAGAAUUUAUCAAGAUUUCAAUCUAAAAAGUAUUCAAUCAUACCAUACGAAUGCGAAAGAGAAUAAGAGUUAAUAACAUGAAAACAAAGUAGACUCACCGUGCAAAAAAAAAAAAAACAGAGUACUCGUAAAAGACAUUCAUAUAGAUGAAGACAACAUUAGUCAACACAAUUAAAAAGUAAAAACAGAAUAUGGUUCAAGUGUUUUACAAGAUACCUUGUGUGUUGUCGUAGUUACAACAUCACAGUACUCAAAGGGGUUCAAAACCACUGAAGCAGCAACCAGUCCACUUAUGUGCGCCAUAUCCAUCAUGAGAAAAGCACCUACAGAAUCUGCAAUCUUUCAAAGCGAAACAAACGUGCAGAUGAAAGUUAGGAAUGCAAUACUUAAUAAUAAAUACUGCUGAACUUCAACACAAAAGAACCAUAUUUACCUUCCUCAUACGAGGAUAGUCAAAAUCUCGAGGAUAUGCACUAGCACCAACAAUGAUGAGCUUGGGUCGGAAAAGAAUGGCCGUUUUCUCAAGCAUUUCAUAAUCAAUAAGGCCUGUAUGAAUUUGUCAAACAAACUUCAUAUCAACAAUGCCAAGCAAUAUUCAAAAUUCCACCCUCUUUUACAAUCACAAUUUCAAAAUGCAGCACCUGUAGAUUCAUCCAGCCGAUAUGGCAUAGAUUCAAAAUAAACUGAGGUUCCAGAUACCCUUCUUUUGGCAGUCAUGAAUCCAUGAGACAAAUGUCCUCCAUGUGGUAGGUCCAAACCCUAACUCAGUACAACAACAAAUAAAUAUGAAUUAUGAAACCAUUUAACAAGUAAAAUCUAAAUAAGAUAAAUAUAAUGACCCUAGAUAGGAUCUUGGGAUAAUUUUAUACAACAAAAAUACUGUACCAACCAUGAUUCGAUCAUGUGGACUAAGAAGUGCAGUAUAAACUUCAAAGUUAGCAGGCGAUCCGGAUAAUGGUUGAACAUUGACACCCCAAUUCUCUUUAUUCAAGCGAAAUGCAGCUAAAGCCCUUUCUUGACACAAUGUCUCUAGCUCAUCAAUGUACUCAUUGCCGCCAUAAUACCUAAGCCACAUUUCACAACUAUGAGUAGUUGUUGUUUCAAGUGUAAAGCCUAAUGACAACAAUGUAUUUUCUUUCAAGUUUUACCUUUUACCAGGAAGUCCUUCAGAAUACUUGUUAGUGAGACAAGAGCCAACUGCUUCCAUCACAUCCCUUGAUGUAUAAUUUUCUGAAGCAAUGAGCUCUAAGCUUUUGAACUGCCGUUGUUUUUCCUUGUUAAUUAUUGCAGAAACAUCAGGAUCUGAUUCCUUGAGACUAGGAUCUACAAAACCUUUCUUAUUACCUGCCGAUCAGUGUAUGCAGUUACAUUAAUAAAAAAGCAUUACCAUUUGUUUAUAUCAUGCAAAAUUUUAUUAUAGCAAACAAAAAUAUAUUUGAAGUUCUUGUUGAUAUCAGGAGUUGGUACACAGUGAGCUUUAUCAUUUUCACCUCACAAACUCAUCUAGUCCUUCAUAUUCCGAUAAUAUUACACUUUACGGAAAAGAAGAAAGAUUGAGCCAUGUCAUUCUUUUUCUUCCUAAGCUUUGCUUUCGUGAUAAGUUUUCAUAGUCUUGAGCAAAAUUUUCCCAUCAAUCGCCAUUAAUAUGUAUAUAUGUGUUCAAUUGAUGGUAUACUUUCGUUAAAAAUCAUAAUUCCUUUUCUUUUUUGGGUGUGUGUGUAAUAGAUGAACUGUUUCAGAAUUUGAUACUUUUGAAUGAUAAUAUUUCCACAACCCCAUAAAAAACAAGCUAUGAGAAAAAAUGAUUGUGCAUAAAUAAAAACAAAAAUCUGAAACUAUACGGAAGAAGAUUAUACCAAUUACCAACAAUCCCCACGACAAUAAAAAGUAGUAACUAUUUGCAGUAAUUCAAAAAAGAUAUAUCUCAUUCUAACCAAACACAAUGCUAAUAAUAAUAGGAAUGAUAACACUUAAAACACUAGUACUAAUACAAACUAAAUAUAUUAACACCAUCAACAUUUUCAAGAUCAUAUAUGAUUUGUACCUUGAGAUUCUUCUGGAAUAGGAACAGAUACAGAAGAAGGUGGUCUACCAGUGACCAAACUCCCUUCAAUUUGAGAAGCUUUGCAAGACUUGACAUACUCAAGCUUAACUUGAUGAUACGGAAAGCCAACACUAGUAUUAACUUUAGUAGUUGGAAAGGCACAACCUUUUGUCCAAAGAUGAUGUUGAACACCACCAGUAACUGCAGCUCCACUAUAAGCUUGCAUUUUUUUUACUUAUUUUGCACUUAUAAAAGCUUUCCUGUAAAAUGUCAAAUAGUUCAAAAAUUCAAAAAACAAUAAAAAUCAAAACUUUAAAAAAAUGAAACUAUAAAACAAAUGAAAACUGAUUUGGGGUUGUAAUAAAACUUCUUAAAAUCUCAUUUUUAACUAUUUUGAUUAAUAAAAAUUACCCAAAAUUCCCAAAUGAAGUAUUGAAAUUGUUCAUGUUGAUAAUAAAAAAAUCUCACAAAUGGAAAAAAAUGAUGAAGAAAAUUAGAAUUUAGAACUUACAGUAGCAGCAGCAGGAGAAAGAAGUAGCAGCCGUAGAGAUGACUGAUGAGACCAGAGAGAGAACGUGAGAUUUUUUGGUGAGCUUUAUAUGGGCCUUUUUAGGUUUGGGCCGAACUGAACAGAGCGCUUGCCGCCCAGGCGGCCCAAGGUGUUUUAGGUGAUUGGGAAGUUGGGAUGCAUUUGCAUAUAUGAGAAGGGCAGAAAUAUGUCUAGCAAUGUAUAAGUAUAACACAUGAUAUAGGAAAUGUGGUCUGUUGCCAUCUUUAACACCAUCCCUCCCUUUCCUAAGUGAAGGAAGUUAUCCCUAAAGACCUCAGUCACAUCCAUGCAACUUGCUACAAAUUGCAGUCUGCAUCAAGUUAACAAAAGAUGAUUAAUCUAUAUUAGGGAAAUAGUUGCGCAAAUACGCUACUAUUAAUUUAUUCUUCACCGGUGUUUCCUAUGAAACAAAAAUGUUUUUUCAAUCAAGACAAUUUUUUUUCUACCACUUAUAUAUAUAUAUAUAUAUAUAUAUAUCUACUUACAGGAAGGAAAGUAUUACAGAUAAAUCAAGCAACUUCAUCUUCCUACUGAAAGAAUAGAAAAAUGUGUUUCAACUUGGUGCAUAAACUAAAGAAGGGAAAUUAUGUGAACAUCAGGAACCAAAAAAGGGGAGAAUCAGAAGAAAAGGGAUUGUUAGCCAGGGAGAUUGAGAAAUGGAAGAAACAAAGGGAGAUGAACCAAGGUCAAGCUGAUGCUUCACAGGCUUUCGAUCUUCCAAAUUCCCGUCACUGAAUUCUCUUACAAGUUUUUAUUUUUCCUGCUUUUCUGUUGUUUGAUCUUUGAUAUCAAUAGGCCAGUUUAUGUGACCCUAUCUUUCAUUUGCAAAAGACUAGUUUGUUUUCUAGAAUUUUUCAUGCUGUUUCUAGUCUCUAUCUGUAUUCAGUUUCAAGUAAUUAAAACUCACUUGAUAUUAAAAAGUAAAGUAUUUAGUACAACUCUGGCUCAGAUGAGCAUUUUCAAAUCUAUUUGCCUAUACAAAACUUGCUGAAGAUGUUAGACAAAACUUCUUCAGAGAUAUCUUCUCCGCUUAUCUGCCCAAGGGCCAAUGCAGCUUCUCUCAAAUCAAUUGUCCAAAAGUCCAGAGGAAUCUCUUCCUCUAUGGAUGACUUCAACCUCAGUAGAGCUUCCUUUGUUCGAACAAGUUGCUCAAAUUGUCUCUGUCAGCAUAAUAACACAAUAAACAUCAGCCCAGUAGUUGCGUUUGUUGGGUGUUUCAAUACAGUGCUAAAACAUUUAUUUACAACCUAGUACUAUUAGCAUGUCUAACCAUACCUAUCCUAUAAUUUUCAGUACUUGCAGCAGUAAUUAAAAUUUGUAGAGGAUCAUCGAGCAGUAGGUAUAAUGACACACUGUAGCUCUUUAUGGUGCAAUACAGCCAGAAGUUCUGUUCAGUUACAAGGAAUAUGUUUAUGCACAGGCAACGAGUUGGUUGAAGAACUAAUCCAAAUCAGCCAAGCUAUCACUCUAAGGACCUUGCUUAACCUAUAUGAACAUGCUCUACUGAUGUCAAGUUCCACCUUUUUAUUUCUCCAGUGACGUCAAGUGUAUUUGUCACAUUUCUCUGAGCCUAUAUGUACUGAUUAUCAAAUACAAAAUGUUUUUGAUCCCAUCUUAUUUUCAUUUAUAUUUACUUUAGAAUACUUUUACCGGGCUUCUAAAAACAUAUGUUAGUUUUGAGUAUUUCAAGUGACCAGCUCAGGUUUUAAGUGUUCCUGCACAAGUUGUAAUAAACAUUGACCCACACCAUUGGGAAAAAAGGACUUCAACCAAGAAAACAAAUAGGAUCGGGACAAAAAGGGAGAGAACGAACUAAAAGCUCAAUGCAUUAUGCAUAUGUAUAAGAAACAAACCUGGUUUACAGCCCAUCGACGCCCUCCUGCUGAGAUGCGAUCAAGGCCAGCAAUUUCCAUUAGUGCAGACUCCAACUCAGGUAUACCCUGACUGUGGACAGCACACGUCAGAACAUGCUUAUUGAAAGGAUUGCCAGCACUCUUAAAUACAUCAAUGUACUCAGGUGGAGCGCAGUCUAUUUUGUUAAUUACAAGAAUGAUUGGCGCAGAAGAACCUGUAGUUUCCUGCAUUUGAAGAAAAAAAUAGAUAAACAUGUGUGAAUUCCCAAUCUAUUUUAAGCUAUACUUCCUUGUUAAAACAAAUUAAUGGAGAGAUGAUGUGUAAGAACCUGAUUGACUUGAAUGCGCUCAAGAAGUUCAGCAUCAUCAUUAGUCCACCCAUCAAGAGCACUUACAGUCAUUAUAAUUACAUCAGCACCCAUUGCAACUGCUUCCGAUCUCUCUACGCCUACAAUUCAGAGGUUAAAACUUUAGAACAACAGAAGAAUUCCAAGUCAAUAAUGGUCAUUAACAUUUAUAAAACAGCCUUUACCUAUCUUCUCAACGACAUCGUUAGUUUCUCUGAUACCUGCAGUAUCAAGAAGGGUUAUAGGGAUACCAUGAACAUUAAUACUGGCUUCAACCACAUCCCUUGUAGUUCCUGCAAUUUCUGUAACAAUCGCUCUCUCACUCUGCAUGCUAAAAGGAAAUAUAGCAUUCAAUAAGAUGUGUGCUGCUGGUCCCAAGAAACAUAGCAAAAGAAGCAAACACAGUUUGAUUAUUUAAUGUGCAAAGGCAAAAAGAAGACUAACAGUGUAAAUAUUAUACAUAAAAACGAUCAAAACUAGAGUCACAGUUUUUCCCCCAUAAUAUAUCACAAGUAUACAGAAUAAUAUGAUUCCAUGAGAAAACAGUUGCCUUAGUUAGGCAUUAAGACAUAUGCAAUGUGGGGUUGACUGCAUGCUUUGGGCCAAAUCUACAGUCACGUGUCACUCAAAAUGACCCAAUAAAUUUAUCUGGAUUUAUUCCUUAUUGUCCAACAUAUGCAAUAUGUUAACAAUGAUCCAAACAUGUCACUAAGGCAUAAGAAGGGGUAUUAUCUUUAAAAAGAAAGACAUAACGCUUUAUGCAUCGGCCCAUACUGCCAAUACCUAGAUCCACCUAUGGAUGCUAGAGUUCAUCUAAUGUCCAUAGACUCCGAUGCUAGAGUUCAUCUGCUAUAUAUAUCUACCUACGGAUUGAAUGUAUUUCUGUACAUCCAACACCUAGAUCAACAUGUUUGGUUUUCCAGGGUUGUCGUGUCUAAGAUAGAGCACCUUAUAUGCUCUACAACACAGAGCAUAAACAAUUCUGCAUCUUUGGAAAUGUGUAGAUCCAAAAGUAUACCAGUCUAAGAAAUUGCACUACAACAUAAAAAAACAAACUAUUUUCCGUGUGCUUAUAAGGUAUAGCAUAACUCAGUUAUCUCAACUCUAAAGUUCAUAAAAAAGCCAAUAUGGGCAAACAAGUAUAGCAGAAACGGCAUCUGAAACCUACUUUGCUCCAUGCAUUGAGUAGGCUUGACUUCCCAACAUUUGGCCGACCAACAAUUGCUAUCUGCAAAACCAAUGUCACUGUAGAUGUUUAAAUUGCAAAAAAGACAAGGAAAAAAGAAAAACAGGACUGUCUUGCAAGAAUUCAAAAUCAGAAAAUACGCAAACUCAAAGGUACUCACAGAUAAUAUAAAUCUAAAGUGAGAUAACCAAACCAGUCGAGCUAAUGGAUACAGCAUAAAUAUGCAUAUACGGUUAAUACUUAAUACCACACGUUGCUGCUCAAAUUUGGUGAAGUUUCUAAUAGGUGGAGUAAUUAAAAGCGAAUAGUCAAAUACACAUGUCUAUCAAGUAAACUAAACAGGUGCUCCAUAUCUGCGUGGAAUCCAGAAUGAUUCGGGGGAACUGGCCAGCAAACCAGAAUGAUUCAGGUGAAUUGGCUAGCAAUUUUUUAUAUGAUAUAUUCUCUACGAACCAACUGAAUUACUUUUUAUGAGAAGUGGAUUGUAAGCAACAUUAAAGACAAGUAGAAAAACUAUUUUCUUUGGUUAUCUACUUAUCUGGGUAAGGAUUAUUGGUUUAUCCGCCUUUAAGUCUCAUUUCAAAUGAUCUCUGUGACUCUUUAGGGAAAAUAAAAGUAAGAGUAUGUCAGACAUCUCCAGUUAAGAUCAUACCUGUAAUCCAGACUGUAAAAGCUUAUCAUAAUUUGCAGUCUCCAAGGCUUCUUCCACAUCUAGGCACAUGGCAUGUAUUUUAUCUAUUAACGCAUUGGAGUCUAAUGGAGGCAUCUCAUCAUCAAAAUCUAAACGAGCUUCAAUCUCUGUAAGGAAUCCGAUGCAUUGCGUUCUUACAGAUUUUACUAAAGCUGAGAACCCUCCCUGUAGAAGAAACGAUGUUAAUACAAACCUCCUCAAUGAACAGUUUUUUCUUCUCUCACGUGAUCAGCAACAACAUAAAAUAUAGUGUAUUCAUGUAAGCUUAAAAAAAGUUAUCACUUUUAAGAUUUAAUCGACAACAUUACUCAUUACAUAUCGAACUGCAUUUUGUUACUGUGACUGUGAUUUGAAUGUUUACACAUACGAAAAUGGUACAUAGUUAAAGCAGUAAAACAUAAUACUUCCAAAAUAUGUAUCACAUCAUUUCAUUUAUUUGUAUUUCCAUCAUUUCCAUAUUUUGUAAAAAUUGCUAACUCUUAUGAAGGAGGUCAAAAUCUGUCAAAACGAACGUACAUACUAUGGUCAAGGUCUCAAGGAUACAUUUAAAUGCUUUUAUAUUGCUUGUUUAUAUAAUGAGUCAGUUUCGAUAGCUAUAUAUGUUUUACCUAGUAAGCCUUAUACAUAGUUCCAAGAGUAGCCACAAAUGCAAUUUGAGGUCAACAUGCUUAAGUAAACUACUCAGUGGUUUCAAUUUUGUAGAAGCUUACACACACCUGAAUUCCAGCUAGUGCUGCAUCGGCUGCUGCCACAGACUUUGCUGAUAUAAGUUUCUCAAUAUUUUCAGCUUGGGCGAGGUCUAAGCGUCCAUUUAGAAAAGCGCGUAGAGUGAACUCGCCUGACAAAAUGAAGAUUUUGCAAAAUCAACAGUAAUUCUAAUAUAAAUCACAUGUUCUAAAUAAACAUAAACAAUUAAACAUAACACUUGCAACAAUUUUCAGAACUUCUAAAAAGAAUCAUGAUUAAAGAAAAUAUAAAAUGAAGCCAACCUGGUUCCGCAAGCCUCGCCCCAGCCUCUAAACAAGCUCUCAAAACACGGCGCAGACAUACAUCAUUCCCAUGACACUGAAGCUCUACUACGUCUUCUCGGGUAUAUGAUCUUGGAGCCAACAUUGGUAUUGCUAAAACCUAACAAAUAGUGUACAGAAACACAUUCAAUAAACUAUACUCGUGACACACGAAAAACACUAUCUUUUAUUUAAGGACAUAUGCUCCUUUUACAAAUUUAUCAGCAAAAAAUUUCUAUCAAAUUUUAUAAACAAAGCAGAAUUGGUGAUCAAAUCAUUCUUAACAAUUUGUCAAAUUUUCUAUUUGAAACAGAAAGAACUACUACUGUAUAUAUAUAUAACUAAAGCUACUAGUUCCCACUAAAAGUUCAAUUCUUUACUUUACAAUUGUAGCUAAAAGUGCUUGAAUUUCGAUAAUACCUCGUCGACAAUAUUUCCUCCAAGGUCAGAAACCACACCAUACUCAACAAAAUGGCUUUUGGGUCUCCAAGAAUUAGUACCCAAGUUUUUAUUCUUUUUCCCAAUUGGUUGAAAAACACGUCCAGCAAUAUCUACAGCAGAAGAACCCGAUAAUCGAAUAAUACCAACUGCACCAGGCUGAUUACCCAAUGAUGUAACAAUUGCAGCAAUAGUGCUUGAUUUCUCAAUAGUUUCAUCAUUAAUUGAACUCAAACCCAAUUUCUCAGUUUCUGAAACAACAUGUAUUUCAUCUGCAAUAACAAUGAACAAGUUAAUAAAUUGAAAAAAAAAAAAAAAAAAAAUUGAUUUUUACUAGUUGAACAGAGAGAAAGAAAGAAACCUUUUGGAGUGAAGUGAAGUUUUCUGAUUCUGAUUAGUUGUUGUUGUUGGGGUUUAAGAUGGAGAUUAAAGAAGUAAGAAAAGGGUUUAGGGUUUAAGAAGAAGUAGCGAAACCGAAUAGCAGGUAGAAUAGCCAUUUUGAAACUCUCUGGCCUCUGCUCUGUUCUCUGAAAGUUGUGUUGGGGAAGAAGAGAAGAGAUAACAAGCAAACUCUCAUGGACCCAAAUAAAAGCCCAUUUCAAAUUCUUUCCUCUCAACUUAAAAUUUCCCAAACAACCAAACACACCCUAGGGUUUAUUGUUGAAGUGAAGAGAAACAAUGAACAAUUUUCCAUUAGAUCGGUUAAGUUUACCGGAUUUAAUCCGAUUCAGUUGUGUAUGCAAAUUGUAUUAACCUGUUUACAGAUUAAUGCAUUAACUAGGUCAGGUCGUUGUUUAGCUGACCAAAGUGGGAGUUUGAGAUCGGGGGUGGCUGCACCUCGAUGAGAUCGAGAUUGCCUACGUACUCUAGUUCGAGGGAGUGGAACUUAGAGAUCAAGCCAUCGUAGUUCUGUCUUUAUAGAAGAUGAAAGGACGCAGAUCAUGGGAUCUCGCAGAUUCUCCGACAUCUUAAUGAAUGCAUAAUCAUGGCAUUGAUUAUGUAACGUGCGAGGAUAUUCUCUGUGCAUUAAUUAAGGGCACGUGCGUAUAAAGAAGUCGCCAACGGUCAUAUAGUCGAGCUGGUCUGGUCGGUUUUUAGUUGGGUCAUGCAGUGGGCAACCUGGUGGAAUGUUGGGCAGGCCACGUGUCGUGUUUUGAUUGGCUGGUGUAUGUAGUACCCCUACACAAAUCAUGGAAAUCAAUUUCAAUUUCUUCUGUUGUUGGUCACAAAGGUAUUCUUCAAGUCCCUUACAAAAGAAAAACAACACUCUUUGGUUUUUUAGUAUUUUAGAUAGAAAUGUUUACAAAGUAAAUUUACCAGAGAUUGGUAUUUUAGUAUUUCAGAUGACUCUGCUGGGGAGGAGAUUUUAUCAUUGCCUAUCUGGUAUGCACCCAAGCUAGGGCAUUGUUAGGAGGUAUUACAAAAACUUAUUUUUUUAGUAUUUUGCGAUACAACUAAUACUGUAUGUAUGCAACAAGAUGAACGGCCUGGUAUGAUUCUGGAUCAUCUGUCAAUGCAAUUUAUGUUAUGGUGCAGCUGCAGCUGAAUCUGUCAGUCAUUUGUUGUACGUGGCAUUGUAAAGCUGCUGGAAAAUUAUGGAAUUGGAUUUCUGAUCAUUUUAUGGUGACCUAUGAUUUCUCUACUGUGAAGCUUGCUAUGAUCAAAAUGAAACACCAAAGUCAGUUGAUAAAGACCAUGUGGAACUCAGUUGUCCUGGGCUGUAUGGUGAUAUGGUCAGUGUGUGGCAUCUCAGAAACAAAUAAGUCAGAUUUCAGAAUGGCAAAGGAGAUGUGGAAAACUGCAAGCAGCAAGUGAUCACAAGUCAUGUGAUGAAGUUUGUUGCAUUGUAAGGCUUUGUCCAGAAAUAGUGUGUGUAUCGACUUGGUUAUUUGCAGGAAAUGGGAUGUCAAGAUGAGGCCACCAAGAGCUCAAAACAUAAAGGUAUGAUAAAAAUCAAUGUGGAUGGUGCUUCAAGAUGUAAUCUGGGAAAUGCAGGCUGGGGUGCUCUAUUCAGAGAUGAAAGAGCGCAAUUUAGACUGUCAGUUAGCAAGGGGCUGGGAGUGUGUACAAACUACCAGGCAGAGUGUUUUGGCAUCUUAGAAUCACUUGAGAUGGCAUUGGAAACAGCAUGGAAGGCUAUUAGCAUGGAAUCUGACUCAGCAGCUGCUGUUGAAGACUUUCAGACAGAUGAAGUCCCAUGGUGCAUGAUUGCUAGAUGGUAGACUUUCAGACAGAUGAAGUCCCAUGGUGCAUGAUUGCUAGAUGGUGGAGGCAGUGUAAGAGGCAGGUUACUGUUUAAGAAAUUGCAUCCAUCUGGAGAGAAUGUAACUUUGGAGCAGAUCAGGAAGCCAAGCAAGGAGGCUGAUGAACUACAAUGCAAUUGCUAUGUUAGAAGGUCUUCCAACAUGGAUUAGACGAAUUGAAUAUGAAAACACUGUAUUUCCGAUUCUAUUGAAUCAGUGGAGCUAUAGGCUCAAUUUUUGUAACCAUGUUGUUGAGUUUGAAUGAAAUACAACACACUUGGCGAAAAAAACUAAAAAUAAAUAAUCUUAUCUUGGAAGUCAUUCCAAGCUACAAGAACACGAUAUUUACUCAACAUUGUAAGUGAUAUGUAUAUCUAAUGAUACAGUUCUGCUUCGGCUGAGCAAUUUCAAAUCUAUUUGCCGCUAUAAAACUUCCUCAAGUGUUGGACAAAACUUCUGCAACCCCAAGUACCAACGUGGCUUCUCUCAAAUAAAUCAUCCAAAAGUUCAGAGGAAUCUCUGCCACUAUGGAUGACUUCAACGUUCAGCCUCAGUAGAGCUUAAGGUUCAAACAAGUCGCUUGAAUUGUGUCUGUCAGCCUUAAAAACACAUCAAACAUCAGCUCAGUACUAGUAGUGGCAUCUGUUAAGAGUUCCAAAAGUUUGUUUACACAUUUAUUAUGACACUGAUCCCAUAUUCCCAUAUAUAUCAAAUUAGGAUAAGGUAUAGUUUGAUGUUUACAAUGUGAAAGGCUUAAAAAACAAAAGUGGCCCUUUUCCUCUAUUUUUGGUUUCAUGGUUGUUCAAUGGAAAUACCGAAAUACCAAUUGUUUGAUCUUAUCAGCUUGAAAUCCCUUUUUCUCUAUUUGGUCAGAUUGUUGUUUUCUUGUUUAACGUAAACAUCAACACUUAGAAAAUGUAGUUAGUGUUGGACAAAAGAACUCAAGAAGUUGGUGAUAUGAUUAUGAGCUGGGUUUGAUAAAAAAUCGACCUUGUGCAUGCCUACAUUUGGUUUGGUUGUGUUGCAGUGCUAGCUGUAGUAAUACCAUAUUACCAUAUUAUGCCUAUAACAGGGAAUCUUAAUACUACCAGCGCCCAUAGUUCCACCUUCAAUUCAAGGACUUAAAUCAAUCUGCAGUUCAUGUGAAAAUGUUCUGGAUACAAACUGGUAAGAAUCAAAUUUAGAAUAUACAUGAAUUUUUCCUGAUUCACUGUGCAGUGCAUAUCAACUUGUUUGAGUACAUAUGUACAGUAGAAGAAGAUAGGGUAAGAUAGAUUGAAUCAUGACCCUCAGAUCAAGAUUUGUAACAGUAAUAAUAAUAAUAAUAACUUCUAAAAUAGGAAGAUUGUUAAUUUAAAACAUUAUUAUGUGCUUAAAUAUGAGCAUUUUCAGUAAGAGAGUAAAGAGUAACAAGAAAAGUGCUCUUUCAUUCAUUUGGAGGAAUUCUAAAGAACUAUCCAAUGCCUUGACAUAUGACCAACCCUUGCAUUGAUAGAUAAUUUCAAGCCACAUGAUCAAAUCAACAUGAACAUCAAACCAUGAAAGAGUGAAGAGUGGUCAGUAAAACAUGUUAAUAAGGUCAUCAAAAACAACAGUAGACCAAGUGGCCGAGUAUGUAUGUUGGUUUGGUUGUUUUUAUCACUAAUGGACUAAUGGUCAGUUUUUUUUUGUUUUUUUUUUUCAGAAUUGAUUCUUAAAUAUAGCCGUUGCUGACUAAUUGCUGACACCAUGAUUCUUUCCUUUUCCUUUAUAAAUACCUACUUCUCUGCAGUUUUCUUUACAUCUUCAUUCAUCUCUCUUUUUUCUUUUCAUCACAUAAGCUUCCCAUUAUCAAUUCUGUUCAUUUACCAUCUUGUACUGCUCAGUUCUGAAUAGCAAUAGCUAUGACAAAAGGAAAAACAGCUUCUUCUCUUGCAUUCUUUUUUCUUUUCAUGCUGAUGUUGUCCUUCAACACAGGUACUACUCUCAAUAACUUUCUUUCAUUUUAGUGUUGCUGCAUUCUUUGAACAUUCGAGAUCUAUGUAAAUACUUCUGUGAACAUCGAGAUAUAUGUCAUUGAUCAAAGGGUUCACUCAUUUAUGAAUUUUGCAUCCUUAACAUACUUUUGUUAUGAUUUAGAGGGUGUCCUGAGGCAAAAGUGGCCUACUAUUUUACUAGUACAUCAGUAAUAAUAUGCUUAACUCACUCUGAGAUAAUAUGGAUCAUUUUGUUUCAAAUCACUGUAUUUAAUUAUUUUUGAAUGAUAGAAACAAGAAUAAUUUCUCUGCAUUUUCACAUGUUUAAUACUUUUGAGCAUUGUCUGGAGAAUUCCAAUCUUCUUAAGCUAUUAAAAUUUUCUCACUUCACAUUCCUUUUGAAUCCAAAAACAAUAAGUUUAAUGGUGGAACAAGAAUUAUAUGCUAGAAGAAGAACAAAAAUUGCAAUUCUUUACAAACAUAUUUAAUGCUAAUUGUUUUGUUUUUGAUCGAAUAUAUAUAGGUGGAUUUAUUAAGCUGGUGAGUGGUGAUCAGGUAAGUUUAAUAACCCCUGUUCCAAAUCAUAUUUGUAGUGACAAGGAAAACAUAAUCUAAUUGUUUGUUCAAUGUAUUUUGGCAGAAAACUUGGUGUGUUGCUAAGCCAUCAUCUGAGAAUUGGGCUCUGCUGAACAACAUAGACUAUGUCCGCAAUCAGGUAAUUUCGGCAAAAUUUCACAUUCCAUACAUAUCUGGAAUGUAAUCAAAUUAUUUGCUGAUCUCAUUGAACCAUAUAUUUCAAUAUUAUUAGUCCUCACAGAGUCGAAAUAUAUUGCUAUCUUCUCAGGGGAUUGAUUGUAGCAUAUUUGAACGUGAAGUUUGCCCAUGCUACAAGCCCAAUACUCUCAUAAACCAUGCCUCUGUAGCCAUGAACCUUUACUACCAGAAAUUUGGCAGGAACAAGUGGAAUUGUAACUUCACUAAUUCUGGUCUGAUUACUACAACUGAUCCAAGUAUGUACCGUAAUUUUCUCACAAGUGAAGAUUAAUAUUUUAAGCAAGAUUAAUAUUCAUUUGAAUAUAGCGAUAAAGGGAAAUGCUCUAACGAAGGUUUUUUUUUUUUUAAUUUUAUGUAUGCAGGUUAUGAUAAUUGCAAAUAUGAAUAAAAAUAGAACAAGAGCAGCAGUGAAAGGAAGGAAGGAAGGAAAGAGUAUUGGAUCCCAUGGAUAUUGAAAUUAUUCUAGAAUAAACUUGUUAUAGGUUUUUGUUUUGCAUGAAUGACUGAACUCAGUGAACUGAAUAGGGAGGAAGGAUAGAUACCUUUGUUCAUAUCCUCAGUAGUAUUAUUAUAUUAUUCUAUGAGACUCAUUUGCAUUGUGUUAUCUUCUUGUCUUUAUACUUGAUUCUGCAUUUCUGCUUGUAGUUGUAACCUGUAGGUCCAAAUGUAUAUUCCAGAUUAUGCUCUACAAACAAAUAAGUUGCAAAACAUUUACAUAACUCGGACUCCUUACAUAUUCUGCAAUUACACAAUUGCAAACCAUCAAAUGAAAUCUUGACACUUUUUUACUGACUACCUAAAUCAAUAUUUGAUACUUUCAUACUCCACCGGGGAAGUAUUGAGAAGCAGACCCAUUGGUUACUUGUACUACUACAUCCACACCAUCCUUACAGAGUCCUUAUCAACAACUUUAACUUGUAAUGCCACCACAGUGCACCACCCCUUACAGAGUCCAGAUCAAAACAAGAUUCAAUCGAGCCAAACCUUCAGUGCAUCACCCUUGCUUGAAGCCUUGAACCACUUCUACCGCAACCGAAGCUACACCAUCUUCACCACUUACACUUUAUGACCCUAAAUACUAAAUAGUCUUGGCCAGAGAAUAAAACACUGACCGAGCAAGUAUCUCUGCUUCUUGCUGAAUCAAUUCAUACUUAAUCUCCUAAGAAACCUUAACUAAUUCCAAUAGAAGAUAUCACUCUAGCUCACUCAAAAGUCAAAACAGCCAUCCUCAAACCAUUCCAUUACACCAGUGAUCAGCUACAUAUUAAUGGUGCCAAUUUACUGAUUUAGCAGGAAAUAUAAUGAUUCAUACUCAAGGUAAGAUGACAAAACUAGGUUUAACAAGACUUGAUGAAUCAGCUACUUCAUCACUCAUUUUCUUAAAUGAAUGUUAACCAAGCAAACAUAAGAAUCCUUCCUGAUUCUUCACUUUGUCUUCUUCUUCUUGGUGUCUCAAACACUACCACUACCACUGAGGUAAUGUCAUCCAUGGCUGUAGCUGUUGAUUCGUUGGACCUUCCAGAACAUAUCCUACUUGUUAUUGCUGAAAAGCUCUUUAUCAACAUUAAAGAUUACAUCCGCUUUGGUGCUGUUUGUCGAUCGUGGCGAUCUCUUUACACCCAACAUCAAACUACUUUUCCUCCUCAACCUCCUUUGCUUAUGCUUCCGUCCAGUGAACUACUCGCCAUUAAUGAUCAACAGACAUGCUGUUUCUAUGACCUGUCGGAGAAAAAAAUAUACUCCGUACCACAAUUUCUUGUUACCAGUUCCUCACCAAAGCUAUUAUCCUGGUUCUGCUCAUGGCUGGUUGAUAUCUUUGACUUCUACUUCCCCACCACUAGUAGCCCAUUUAUUUAAUCCUUUCUUGUCUUCUUCGAUCAAUCUGCCCCCUUUAAGUAAUUAUUAUUUCAUUGAAGAUGAAACUGAUUGCGCUCCGCAGGCCUUCUUGUGGAAGGUUGUUUUAUCGACAUCUAACCCCAACACUUGUCUAGUACUGGCCAUUUUGGUAGUUAUAAGAGGCUGGCCUUCUGCAAGCCCUGUGACAAUGCUUGGACUUGUUUAGAGCUACACCCCGAUUCUAAGAAUUUUCCCUGGAGACUAGACUUGGGAUACAUGCCUUGCUCGCUGACUGAUCCUACUAUAUAUUUUGAGAAUAAAUUCUACACUGUGGACUCAUUUGGAGCACUUUGGCUAAUUGAUUUGGAUGCCCCUCAUCCAAGGUUGUCCAACUUGCUACCAACUUUUGAAAGCUCUUUUCCCGGCAAUAGUAAGCACUAUGUCGUACAAUCAUCCAGUCACUUGUUGCAAGUUACUAGGAUAUCUCAUGUACAUGACGACUUUAGUAACUAUACUACUAAAUUUCAUGUCUUCAAACUGGACCAAACUCAUAGUAAAAGGGUUGAGACAAAAAACCUGUACAGACAGAUGCUACUUCUUGGCAGUAAUGCAUCUAUGUCUUUGCCGGCUUCAGACUACCCUGGCUGUAAGGCGAAUUGCAUCUAUUUUACUGAUGAUUAUAUUGAAGGAUAUCACCAUGAUGGUGGCGAUAUUGAUGUAACUCCAGGACCUCCUGAUAUGGGAGUCUUCAACCUAGAAGAUGGCAGCACUGAACCACAUUACCAAGUAAGGGAAUCUAGGCAGUUCCACCCUGCUCCUAUUUGGAUUGAGCCUACGUAAUAACGUGUACACCGCACACUGGAGAUAUUUAAUCUGUAUAUGCAUCAUUUCUAGUCCUUGCCGAAAAUAAUUCCCUUUCCCCUAUAUAUCUCCCCCUCUUUUCAAAUUAAGGUACCUGUAUAUCUGCAUGCCGACACAAUCCUUUAUUUGAAUCGCCAUUAUUCACCAGCAAGUCAGCAACAACCAUCUACAAAUUCAUCUCUUGCUCUUCUAAGCAUACCACAAGUCCGAAUUAUCGCAACCAAAAAACAUCCAAAAAAUACCUAUAUAUUCUAAAUGAUGCAUUUGUCCUUUUAAGUGCCCAAUGUGCAGAGUUGGUCUACGCUCAAGGCUCAACCAUUUGUCCUAAAGUAUGCAUUAAUGGAAGUUUAUUUUCAUAGGGAAAUAUUUCGUCAAAAUGUUUUUUUUUUCCCUUUAAAUUGCUAAAAAGCGGGAAAAACAAAAUAAUGGGCGGGAAAAAAAGUUAUCAAAAUCAAACAAAACCAUUGAAAUAACCUAAAACUACCCCUCUCUUUUUCCCCACUUGUUUCAGAGUUUCAUAGUGAAACAGCCAACAUGAAGAGAAGAAGAGCACAAUCACCAACAAUGGUGAUUUCGCCGGGUCUGUGUCGCAGUCUUCCACAUGAGUUAAUCCUUGAAAUACUGUCAAGAAUUCCAGCAAAGACUCUACUGGGAUUCAAGCUUGUAUGUAAGUGUUGGUAUAACUCAAUUCAUGAUUCUGUUUUCAUUAAAAUGCAUGUGAAUCGAUCCAUGGAAAACGAUUAUACAAGUGUAUUUCUAGCUAGUGAACCAUCUCCAUCUAUGUCAGUAGGACCCUUUGAUCUUCUUUCACAAAUUUACAGUUUAGAAGGUGAUUCACAUGAUCAAUGUGUAGAAAUUGAAAACCCUAUUGUUCAUAAUUCAAGAGUAUUGGGUUCUUGUAAUGGGUUGAUUUGUUUAAGUAAUGGGAAUUUAAUGUGUUUAUUGAAUUCAUUUACUAGAGAAUACAAGAUGUUUAAGGUUUAUAAGGAAAUCAGUUUUAUAAAGAGUGUUUUCGGCUUGGGGUAUGAUUGUGCCCAUGAUGAUUAUAUAUUGGUGCAACUUGUUUAUACUGAUAACUGUUUUGAUUUUUAUGAUUUUGAUUCUGAUGAUGAUAUGGAUUCCGAAGUCUAUGUUUACUCUUUGAAGGAUACCUGCUUGUCGUGCUCGAAAAUUGGUAACAUUCCAUAUAGAAGUUUGUAUGCUUCAGACUUGGGGGUUUAUUUGAAUGGUUGCCUUCAUUGGGUAGCUACAAAGAAACAAUGUGCACCUGUUGAUAUUAUCACAUUUGAUAAUACUGAGAAAGUGUUUUGAGAGAUGCCUCGACCUGUUAAUUUGGAUGAAGGUGCUAAUAUGACUUUGGGAUUGCUUGGAGGGAAGAUUUCUAUCCUUUGCGACUUCUAUCAGAAGGAUAGUGAAUUAUGGGUGAUGGGAAAGUAUGGUGUAGCUGAUUCGUGGAUAAAACUAGUUUCUAUGGUUAAAGGAUUUCUUCCUAGAGCGCCUACAUCAAGGGCUUUGUGCUUUUCUGAGAAUGGCAAACUUGUACUAAAGGAUGGCAAGGACCCAAUUCUAUAUGAUCCGAAAACAAAAAAGGUUUGGAACAUCAGUUAUCGUGGCAUGCGUUGGUACAAGAUAUGCAUGAGUAUAGUUUAUGUGCCAAGCCUAGUUUCGUUGAAAUCGGGUAAAUAUGUGGAUGUUGUUGAUGGAGAUAAGCCUUCAAAGAAAAGAAAGCAAAGAGCUUAUCAUUACAGGUACCUUUGUGAUUAUCUUGUAUCUCUUUUCUGUAUGUUUCAUACUUUCAUCAUGUCCUAGUUGCAAUAAUCCAACCAUUUUAUCGUUAUUAUCUAUGCAUCAUAAGACUUGGAAUUUUUUAUUGUUUGCUACUUACAUAUUUUCAUACGUGAUUGUUCACUUAUUUUUUGAUUGCGUUCUCUUCUAUACUGGUAUGCUAGUAAAUACUGGUGAAGAAAUGUCAUCAUUUAUAUACAUUACUUGUCUAAAUACUGAUUCUGGUACCUGGUGUGAUAGUAGUUUAAUACUAUUAAAAUGUGUAUAAUGCGAAUUAAACACUUGAACAAACACAUCCUAUAUGGUAAUAUGGUUAUGACUUAGUACUUAGAGAGAGAAGCACUUGGGGGUGCACCCCUGCUUUAUAACUGACAACAAUUACGAUAUCUUUAACAGUGAUAUAACACAAGACAAAGGCAGAUUUUGUCAACUGUGUUCUCAAACUUAGUAUUAUUGACAUUUAGUUCACUUCCAUUGCUGAUAAUACUGUUCAAGCGUAAUGGCUAUGCGGUCAAGCUUAGAUGAUUUUAGGCAUGACUAGGUAAGAGUAGGCAUAAGGUGCAAGGGUGUGCAUAGAGCCUGAGUGGUUUUAAUUGCAUACAACUGUAUGUUACAAACUAACCUUUAUUUCUCCAGAAGGUCCUUGGCAUAUUUAAAGAUGCUUUCUAGCUUCUUGAGGUUUUCUGUGUUAAGUGUCACAUUGAGAUGAUUUAUUAAAAGUAUAAAACCAGGAUCAUCAACAUCUUAUCCAGUGGAAUUAUCCCGUCAUGAUAGGUAGCCAGUAGCCACAAAGUCUAGAAACUGUGACCAUCUCCCAUGUUCUUAGUGCUUGGGUUUUGUUGCACACAACAUCUUCCAGUGUGAAUAUAGUAAUAAAUAGUGAUCAUCUGAUAGACCCUGCGACUGUUCAAAUACUAAACAUCUCUUGUUCAUGAUAAUUACAGUACUUUGUGAUUAUGCUGUUGAUAUCCUUUGCUUUCUUAGAGUUUUAUUUGAUAGUUUUGCACCUUCUAAUCCAUUGAUUGUGAAGAACUAUACCCUAGUUCUAAUCCAAAGAACUAGUAAACCUUUUUGAAGUGGCUUCAUAAUCCAAAGAACUAGUAAACCUUUUUUAAGGUGGCUUCAGUUGAUAAACAUCUGACUAGGUUUCUAUCAGAUGAGAAUUUGUAGAUUAAACCCACCUAUUAUGACUUCAAAUCUAUAUCAAGGAUCUAAAUUAGUUUGAUACAGAUUAAGAUUUAUUACUGGAUUUGUUCUGCUCCAAUAUUGUCAGUGACCUGUUAUAGUGGAAGGUAUGCUAUUGGCAUCGCUAGAAACUAAGUUCAUGAUAAUUUGUUGUGAAAGAUUACACAUAUGACAGAUGUUUCAUUAUUUGAGCAUAGAUUAAGCAGUUGGCUUAAUUUGCGAGUUGAUCAGCUUUCCAAUACAUAUGAGAUAAUGUUAUGCUCCUAAGAUCAAUGUUUGAAUAUCCAUAUAUGUGCUGAUAGGCCAUUGAUUUUCGAAUACCUUGCGGUGAGUCUGUUGGGUUGGCAGCCAGUAGAUGUUAAGUUGCAGAGCUUGUGUUGAUUAGAGCAUCUGUUUUGUAUCAAACUUUAUUAUAGGGGGAUAGCAUCCACCUCUGUUCCUAGUUUAUGAAUCACUUCCGUAUGGAGGGAGAAGGAUCAAGAUUGCAAGCAAGAAGCAUAAUCACAUGGGCAGAGUGCCCUAGAUCAAUAAUUGGGACAAUCCUGAUAAAACAUACUACACAUUUUGUUAAGGUUUUGUAGUUGAAUUAUGAAGUGAUUUAGCUUGACCUGAAUGGUAAGGUAUAAACAUGUUAUAACCGACCAUACAUACAUGAAUAUUUGUACCUACAUUAAUAAACUUACUCUUAACUAGCAUAUUUAUGUAUCGUAAGGUAUGUUUCUCAUCGUCCUGUUGGAAUUUUCUUCAUUGGUGAUAUAGUAAAGUACACAUGUAUUAUCUUACUGCAAAUCAUUUGACAUGUGUCAUAUGAUGCUCCUUGAGACCUUGACAUAAUUUCUGAAGCUGACCAUUAGAAAAUGGUAUCUGACGAUUUAUCCAAAAUCAGAUAGUUGUCAACAUUCUACGUGUCCCAGUGGCCCUAUCUUUCAUAUGUUUUGUUUAGAACAAUGUAGAUAACAUAAAUAUCAUAACUUAAUGUUUAUGCAAAGCUUUUUUGAAAUCUUGCAGGAAUGAGUACAUCCUUUCUGAUGAGAGUGGAGACGAGUAUGAGCAUACUCUUCCUGACAGCUUAGAAGAUUUUGACUUUGCUGGUUGAGGAAACACCGAGUAAUGAGUCAAAGAAACCAACUGUUGGUACUGUACAUUUGUUUGCUGGGAUCACUCUUAGUUUGUCGUCACAUAAUUCUUAGCUUGUUUUCAUGGUUGUGUUUCCUUAGUCCAAUUUUUCGGCUGUGUAAAUGGGGGUUGCUAGUGGCAUUAUAAAUUUAUGAACUUAUGCAAGAUCUGCUUAUAUAGAUCUUGCUGAAGACAUUUACUUAGAUGUUAAUAGAAUUGUUUGCAUAGCAAUUUAUGUUUAUCAUGAAUGGAAAUGAGUACAACUGCAACCAUUCAUCAGCCAUUUUUUCAGCCAUUGUGUGAUGGCGGUGUCCAUGGAUCUUAGCUUGUGUUCAUGAUGGUGUAUCCCAAUUGUUCACGUUAUUAUUGUUAUUGCAUAAAUUGCAUAUCAUUAAAAUCACAUUUCAUGUUAUUUGAAUUAGAUGGGGCUAACAACGAUUAUGUUGCAUGUUUACAUGCUGUGCAGUAGUUUGGCACAUCUGGGUGUGUUGUGUUCCUUAAUCUGAUUUUUAUCUUAGGUAGAACAAAAACUGUUAGAGAUUGGACCAUUAUCGGUAAUGCCAAAUUAGGUAACAAGCUCUGGUAGUCUCCAAAUUUGGCAUAAGUCAGCAUGGCAACAAAUAUUGCAAUUUGGCCUGAAUAUCAGUCUUGCUGAUCUGACAGGAUGGCAUAUCAGUGGGCCAGCAAACUGCUAUAAAUGGCAAAGAUCGCAGGUUGGAGGGUUUUCGUGGCCAGGUUGAUUGCACAUUCUGUUGUUGUCAUCUCAGCUUCCUCUGCAGCAUUUGACUCUUCAUUAAGCACAUGCUUGUAUACCACGAUCUACUUCCUCAAUACUACUGCUGCUUCUUUCCUGGUGUUCUAGUCAAAAGUACAACCUGUUGUGUAGUAUUUCUGAAAUGUUUGCUCGUUCUUCCCUGAGUUAGUUUGUUCUGUUGCAUCCAUUAAAGUCACAUUUACCGUAACUAAAAUCCCUGGUGAUAUAUCCUAAAUAAUUCGGUAGAAAUUUGGUUCCCUUGCAGUGACGGAUUUAAUGUCAGUCUGACAAUCUCCUUGAAAGAUGUGUUCUUUCAAGGCUUGUUGAUAAUCUAUUAUGUUCAGACUAGCUAAUACAUUCCAAAACACAUGACUGCUAAGUGCUAACACCUGGAUAAAAAUGUGCUUUAAGCCACAACAAAAUAGAUUAGUAACUUGGUACAACAAAUACUUGGAGCUGAUUUUUUCAUGGAAAAUUCCGCGUCUUAGUUGCCCCAAAAUUAUAAAGAACGCAGUAACAGAUCCACCAACAUGCAACCAAAGAAGGUGGAGAUCACAUAGAAUAUGUAUUAAAUUUUCCAGAUCGGGUGUGUUAGCUAACGACCUCCAUUAGGAUGAUAAGCUGCUGCUGUCACUCCACAUUUUUGAAUCGUUGCCUUAGUUUGCACUUGUUGUUAGAUUGCUGGUUGAUUAUAGUUUGAUGAAUGACAUGUUCUGAAACUGGAAAGCAAACCUACUCUUUAAAAAUUGAUGUAGGUUGUAAUAAGACAGUUUUCAACUUGUACUCAGUUUGCUAUUUGCGCGAACCAAAGAACCAGAUGUUAAUCAAACCUACAUCGUCUGUUACCACUCUGUGAACAAAACAGCAAGGAUUCUACACCAACUCAAACCAAUACUCUGGGAUAGCCCUGUAGUCUAUGUGGUAAUGUGGAGAGCCUCAUUUCACCAAACUCUGCCUCUGCUGAGGAUGAAAAUUGAGGAACAACCCUGAUAAUUGUAUAAUGUAGGUGACAACUGACAAUUAAUGAGAAUCAUUUGAUUUGUGUUAACUUCUUGUCUUUAAACUUUUUACUUCUUAUUUCCAUUCAGUACAUGUAAGUAAAACUUUAGCACAUUUAAAUAACUCUUUACAUAUACUGCACUUACACAAUUACAAACCAUCAAAUGAAAAUCUUUGGGCACUUUUUUACUGACUAACUACAUCAAUCCAUUACUUGAAUACGCGUACCGGGGGAGUAUUGAGGUGCAAGUAACCUUACAGUCCUUAUCAAACAACUUUAACUUGUUGUGUGCACCUUUGCAAGUCAUCAGGAUCCUUGAAUCAUCCUUGUGUCUGCAGGUUGAUCAAAUAUGUAUGGAUCAUCUAUCCUUGAAUGGACUUUUCACUUUAGUAUGCCAAACAAAUACACGACAGAGACUUACCUUCAUUUGCUUGCUGGACUCGGUUGCAACAAGACCUUCAACCCUCUGAACACAGGUCACUCAAAUAAUCCUGCAUAAGACAAUUCAUAAUGAAUAAAGGGUAAAGAGAAACUAGCCAAGUGAAAUAUGGUAGUUGUGUGUCCCAACUCAUAAAAGAACAUACAUGUUACUCAGCCAUGACACGGAUAGGUGCUGUGAAGAAUCUAUUAACUCUGUAACAGGCGGGUACCGUCAGACAUACUCAAUUUGGACUAGCAAAGUGUCUAACAAGGUCUUCUUCCUAGGAUAAUUUAUGUCAUGCUAUUUGCCUUGAGGAGAUGCCAAAGAAGGAAAAUACACAAAAAGUUACCAUAGAAUAAGUUGUCGCCUACAAUUAAAUAAUGAAUGGUCCUUGACGAGUGGUUGACGUCUCUGUCUCCAAGGCUUCAUUGGCAUAUCCCUAAGGAAGAGAGGUAUUGUUCUCCUUUCACCAAUUCAGCACUUAUGAACUUUGUGCUAUUUCCCUGACACAGACAAAAUUACGAAACUAUAAGAUGAUAAAUAAAUUUAAACAGUGUAUAAGGAACAUUAAAGUCUCCCGCGUCUACCAUAUAUAUCUUAAAAAGAGAAUUCAGCAGGAAAACAGAUUCCAGAUCGAGAUUCGAUUGAGCCAAACCUUAAGCGCAUCACACCUACUUGAAGCCCUGAACCACUUCUACCGCUACCGAAGCUACACCAUCUUCAUCACUUACACUUUAUGACCCUAAAUAGUCUUGGCCAGAGAAUAAAACAUUGACCAAGCAAGUAUCUCAGCUUCUUGCUGAAUCAAUUCAUUCUUAACCUCCUAAGAAACCUUAACUAAUUCCAGAAGAAGAUAUCACUCUAUGCUCACUCAACACAGCCAUCCUCCAAUAUAGUUAAGUUUGAAGCAUUCCAUUACACCAGACACCAGGUACCAGCUACAUAUUCAUGUUGGCGUGGGUUCAAUGGUUCAUAGCCAAUUUACUAAUUUAGCAGGAAAUAUAAUGAUUCAUAUUCAAGGCAGGAUGAUCGAUCAAUUGUAUAUUAAAAUCAAUAUAAAUGUAGAAGUCUAAAACAGUAUAUUAAAAUAAAUAUAAUGACAUUGAAUAAAAGCUUUAUUGAUUAUGAAUUAAUUGUUUGAUACAAUAGUUACAUUAAUCCUUAAACAUGUCACAUAAUAAUCAAGCUACGACAUUCCUACAGAUUUUAGUCUUAGAUACAAGACUCCUCUCGCGUCCUCAUUUAUAAUUUUCUGCAACUCAAAUGGGAAUUGCAUUGGAUCCAAUAAUAGCUCAUUAGUGCCAGCAAACUUAGCCAAAAAGUCUGCAGCCCUAUUUGUUUCCCUGAAGAUGUGUUUGCAAUUCCAAAACUUAAAUUGAGCUAACAAAGAAUGAAUUUCGGAAAUACAACUUCUUAUCAGUAUAGGACAUGAAGAGGGAGGCGAAAACAUGUAUUUUACUGCCUCACUUGAAUCGGUAUCUAUGUUGAUGUAAUGAACACCACUUGAUAUUGCAACUUGAAGACCUCUUAUUAUUGCAAUGAGUUCUACCCCAUAAAUCGGUAUGUUACUUGGACACAUAGCUGCAAAAGCGACGAGAGGAGCACCACGAGAGUCUCUUAGAAUACCCCCCACACCUGAACGAUGAGAUGAAAGAGAUCCAUCGGUGUUUAAGGUGCAAAACCGACCAAUAGGUUUAGCCCAUUUGAAGAAAAGAGGUUGUUGAUGUGAGUUGUUAUUAACAUCAUGAAAGGGACCUUGGAAGAUGUAGGAAAGUGGUAAUAAAGGUCUACUAGGUCUAGUUGGAGCACGACAUGGUAAUGGUAGGGGUCUAGUUGUUUGAUAUUGUGAUGAUGGAGGAGAAUAAAGAUGGCAAUGACGAGGUGGAAGAAGAUAUUGAGGAGGAGGAGGAGGAUAUAAUGGAAAUGGAUGAACAACUCUAGCUAAUCUAGGUGGAAGAUUGUGAUGGCGGCGGUGGUGGUGGUGGUGGUGAACAUCAACUGCUGCAUGCAUCAUGUUCGUAGUGGUGAUGAUAUUGCCGCUGCUGCUGAAAACUACUUUAAAGUCACUUUAGACGACGUGUGAUGAUGAUGAUGAUGAGAGAGUGAUUGAGGAAUAAUAAUAUUUCCUUCUCCCUGCUUUGCUUUCUUGUUGUUGUUGUUGUUGUUGUUGCUGCUGCUUCCGAGAACUACUUCAAAGUUUAGAUGGGAUGACGAUGAGAGAGAUUUGAGAUUGAGAUUGAGGAAUAAUAAUUCGUGUUUUGCUUUAAAUAUAUAGUGAAUGGAAUGGAUUACGGCACCGACGAAUUGAAUGUAAAUGUCUAUCAGUACUAGAGUUACUAAUUAAAAAAUCAUGUCGAUUAUAAGAAUAAGAAUACCAAAAACCAUAUACUCUUUUAACAUAAUCAAGAUAUACUUACAGUUGAUUUACCAGAACGUAGAUAACCAGUAACAAUGGUUGCAUUGCACCAACUGAUUCAUCACUCUUCUUCAUCUCUUGUUGAUGUUGAAGAUGCAUUUUGGAGACAUGAAUUAAUAUAAGUAGAUUCAUUUCAUUUAUUUCGAUGGAAAGAGCCAAGAACAGGUGGGGUUUCAUCAUCAUCAUCGUCGUCGUUUUCCAUGUUGAACACACAGAAACCACAAGGUUGAAGAAGAAGAAGAAGAAGAAGAAGAACUGAACUGAACUGAAGUAGAACUGAAGAAGAAAGACUCUCACGGGCUUUGGGCUUUUGGCCCAAAUAUAUAGCCCAGCUCACUUUACUUCUUCACAAACACAUUUUGGUUUUGAGACAUGAUGGAAGUUUGGAUCAAAACAUCAGUAAAUAAAACUUGUUGCAAAUUAAUAUUUCAUAUGUUGCAAACAAUGGCCUCAAUCUACGUACUGUCAUUAGCAUAUGUUGCAAACAAUGGCCUCAAUCUACUGUCACUACCAGUGCUCUAGUAUUAAUUAUUAUACCAAUUAUCAUCGUACGUCAUUGCCAUUGUGAUCAUCAUUGUUAUCAUUAUCAUCCUCGUCAGGUACCGGCCACCAAUAAACGAACUCUGGACUUAUCUGGAAUACCAUAAUACGCAACGAUCGAGAGUUGUUGCUCUCCCCAUUCGGGCAUCAGCUCUGAACUCAUUGCCAUAUAUAGUGAGUUUCUGACGAUGGCAAUUAAGCUAAAAUGCAGGCCCAACCUAGACAAUAGUUAAUAUAGCUAGAUUCAACAGUGACCGACAUGUUCAUAGGAUUCUGAGCUGACUCGGCUCAGUAUUUCUUAUCAUCGUUAAUAAUUCCAUUAUUCGCAGUAGUAGUCUUAGUGAUUAUGGCUGUACGCAUUUUUUUUCUUUUUCUUUUCUGCUAGCUGUUGUUGCUCGUGCCACCAUAAUGGACAUCUUGAUUGGUUAUUGUUUGAUGAAUGACAUGCUGUGAACGAAAUUGAAACAACUAAUCAAAUAAAUGGACACUUUCAGAAAUUUAUAUAUAUAGGUUGUAAGACUGUUUGUUUCCGUAUUUGAAUUGGAGUUGUUAUCCCCUUACGAUUAUGAUAUUGGAAGUCCCAUGCUAGUUACAUACAUACAAUAUAAUUAGAAGUUAAAUAUCUAACAAUUUCCUAAGACAAAAUUUCUAUUUUGCUUCAAACAAGAACAACUUUUCAACUUGUACUCAGUUUACUGCUCUUAUAUAUAUUAAAAUUAAACUACUUCACAUUAUUUGGAAUAUAUAAAUUAAGGUUAUCUAUCACCAUAGUGUUAUAGUUUCUUUCUAAGUAUUCAGCAUAAAGAUAGCUAUUAUAGAGAUGAGGAUUAUUUGCCAAAAGAAGAGAUUGUUUGAAGAUAAUGUCAUUCAAGGGAUACAGAAGAAGAUGAUGAUUUCUGACUCGAGUGAUGAUGAUGAGCACAACAAUAUAGCUGCAGAUGAGGAGGAUGCUGAACCAAAACCUGACGUGAAACAUGAAGUAGGAAGGAUUGUUAAGUAUGAUACGAUGCAAAGAUGUAUUAGAAGAAGGCCUUCAGUUAUGAAGUUGCGAGAACUAAAUGAUAUAAUACAAAAGUUUUUAGAAAUAUCAGCAGCACUGUACAUGUGUUCAGAUAUGAACAAAGGCGAGAAAGUUGUGGCGCCUAAGGGAAAUAUGAACCAUAAAUUUAAGAAAGAGACGGCGCUAGAACCACUUUUAUUGCCAAUCCAUAUAAAAGAGGCCAUAGUGAAUAGACUUGGAGGAAACAAUAUUACAUGGAUAAACAAGAAAAAUAUUGAACUUAGUGAUGUUAGUGCUACACAAUGCCGUCUUUACUUGCCUAAUGAACUCCCACAAGUUUUAACUGAAGCAGAGAAGAAUUAUUUGCAAGUUCCUGGAAAUCCACGAAAUACAUUGGAUGUGUUGGUGGUAGAUCAUGAAGGUUUGGAGUGGAUUAUACCAUUGAAGUAUUGGCCUAAAGUUGAUAAAUAUGUCUUUGGGAAAAGGUGGUUGGAAUUGGUUAAAUUGUAUAAGAUUCGAGCUUCGGUUAAGGAUGUGGUGGAAAUUUGGUCUUUUAGAAGAUUAUAUGAAGAACACGAUGGCGUGGGGCAACUUUGUUUUGCCCUCAAUUUCCCAAAUUUGAAGAAAUCCCGAAGUGCUAGUAGUGAUGGAGCUAGCACAAGUGGUGGUGCCAAUAAUGUGUCUGGCACUGGACUGGAUGGUGGCGCAGAUGGGAGUGGUACAAACACGAAUAGUAUUGGUGAUGGGGCUUCUGACACUGAUAUGAAUGGGGAUGCCAACGUAGAUGGCAUUGGAUCGAAGGAUGUGACCAUGACAUGAAUACAUGGUGGAGCUGAUACAUAUAGUGCUAUCACUCUGGAUGGUUGCAGCGGCACUAGUACAUGAAAAUAUUAGUUUUCUCUUCCUCUUGGAAUUUAAUUUCUUCUGUUUUUAUAUAGUGAUUCAGUAUGUAUAAUUCGUCGAUAUUAAUCUUGAGGUAGGGUCUGAGUCAAGUCAAUUAUAGAAUUAUAUAGCUUUCAUUCAAAAUUGCGAGAAAAUUCAUAUCAGUUUAAAAAUGUUCUGUUUCUUUCAUCUUUAUUUUACCGUUAACAAAACGUGUACAUCUUUCUUUUGUUGGGCUGCAUGCCUGCAAGCAAAUAUAUUGAAAACUGACUAUAUGGAUGCAUUGGUCAGAUGUAAUAGCUAAAAUGGUUAGAUCAUUUCCAUAAUCAGAUGAAGAACAUAAACCUCAAUUCUACUCUCAUAAUAACCUAAAUACUGAACUCCCACACUGUUAAACUAGAUUGUCACAACUAGACCAUACUAGCUUUCAUACAUAACUUGAAGAAAUACUUGCAGCAAGAUAAAUAUUACUGUACAUGUAAGCCAGUGCAAAAACCAUGACUAACCCAAAACACACCAUUUGUGUUAGUAUCACCCUGUCUAUAUAUAUAUAUAUCCACAACUAGUUUGAAAAAUCAAUCAGUCAUUAAUCAUUAUAUAUAUUAAAAAAAAAUGAUAAAUCAAUCAGUGCAAUGUAUAUUGCUAUUACCUUAUAAUAAGGUGCAUUUACUUUUAGUUUUUUUAGUUUGAGGUUUUGGAGGAAAUUGAACUUGACCUAAGAUGAGCUAACAGAGAAUGAAUUUCAGAAACACAAUGACUUACAGUAGUGGACAUGAAGAAGGAGGUGAAAACAUGCACUUCGAAUUGAAUCCAAGUGAUGUAACAAACACCCUUGAUAGAAUGAUAUAGUGCAAUUUGAAGCAGUGCUCCAUUAACGUGGAACACACGUAGGCCUUCGGCCUCAAAUAAAUUAAAAUGCCUUCCCUGAUACAAUGUUAAAGUAUAGGGUCCAACCUAAAACCAAUUUAAUUUACUAACUUUGGCUCUUUAGAGAGAUUACAUGAAAUUUCAAAUUAUAUAUAUUUUCAAACAGCUAAUUUACUAACUUUGGCUCUUUAGAGAGAUUACAUGAAAUUUCAAAUUAUAUAUAUUUUCAAACAGCAAAGAAGAUGAAAUUCACAUUCCCAUUUAGAGGAUAGGCCUAAAUCUGAGGUUCGUAUUAUAAAUUCUCUCUGGGUCUAUGCCUAUAUCUUACAUCCCUCUCUUCAAGCCUUCUUUUAUAUGGCCUACGGUGGACUCCACAGAUGACGAAACCUUGACAGGAACCACUGACCAGGCCUUGAACAUAUCACAGAGUAUGUUGUUCAUGAAACUCCACGUUCAAGAAGCUAGUUUACUAGCAUCUGAUCUUGUUGUUUAAUUUGCUUAUAGAAAUUUGAAAAUUCUUGUGCAUAUUAGAAUGAAUUGGUAUUCGAUCUUUCGCCAUGUACAAUGUUAAUGGCAUAAUUGUAUUACAUCUUGCAAAAGAUCAUCGGAACCUUUAUUCAAAUGCGUGUUGGAGUGAAGUUUCUUGUUUUUCCAUCACACUUGUACUUGUAUGAAUGGCUAAAAUUUCAUUGCCAACUUUUUUUUCCACAAUAUCCUGAUUGAUAUGAAAUAAGCUAAUGAUUUCAUUCAUCUCUGGGAAAAAAAAAAUAUUGAUAAACCAUGUCUGCAAAAGGAUCUUCAAGAACCCAAAAUAACCUGCAAGGCUCUAAUGCUAUAUAUCUGAUGUAUGAGCAAUGAACCAUCUCCUAGUGAAUUAAGCUGUGAACUUGAUGAGAUCAUUAGUCAUUCAGAGUACAUUUAGUGGUUCUCUAAGUGGUCCUACAUUGUUGCUUUUACGCAUUUACUUCACGUCGUCAUCUUCAAAGUCAAACUACAAAGAAAAUUGAAAAGAACAAGAUAAGCUGCAAAAUUCCAAAUUAUGAAAGCAGCAUUAUUGCAGAUCACUGAAUGUGUGAACCAGACUCUUCUAGUUCUAGAUAAGAUCUAAGAAAACAAAGUAAGAAACACUUCAUAAGAUAUGUCCAUCAUACAAGAAACUAAAAGAGAAUGAAUAGAAAACUACAGUUUCCAUCUGAAAAACUCAAACAAUAAGAAAUGGCGAAAAACUGGUGCUUAAAUGGAACAACGGAAGAUACAGCCAAUUAUUCAUCUCCAGUGCCUUUCGUUGGAUUAUAUACUGCUGCAGCGACUUUGGUAUGUUUAAUACUUAUCUCAUGCGAUGUGUGGAACGGUUUUCGUUGUAGGAAAUCAUGGUUACCUUGUCGAUGCUUCUCAAUCAACUCAGUUACUAUAACACUUAUCUCAAUUGCUUCGAAACUCCCUGUAGACCUCACCUCUCCCAUGCCAAGUGCUCAAGACCAAUUGUCUAAGCUCACUGGUACUAUCUUUAUAUGCAUGUCUAUGAGUUUUCUAAUGCCCUCACUUGGAAUCAGUGGGGAAUUUGAGUCCUAUGGGAAUUUGUUAGCACUGAGCAUAGUUGUAGUUACUGUGGUCAUAAAUAUCUGCAUACAAAUGGCCACAGGCGUGAUAUUUUCUUUCAUUGUAGAACAUACCAUAAUCUUGUUUUCCAUGUUGGUAAUACUAGUCAUGCUGUGGGUCUUUGCGUAUUUUGUCAAUGGCCACAAGGGAAUUUCUGGUGAUCGUAAUAGAGAUCUCAUUACAAAGGGAUCUGAAGGGACAAUCUUACAACAACUGAAACUUUGUUACUUGCAUGGUUAUUUCUCGUGCCCGCAGUUAGGAUCGUCUAGAUUCCCACAUUUUGGCACCAUGAGCUUGGUUAGCACAAUUUGUUCAGUGGUUCUGGCAGUAGCUUUGCUUAGAUCCUUUGCAUUCAAGGAUCUGCAAUUUUGUAAAGGGAGUUCUGAUUAUGGAUGGUCAAUGUGGAUUCUUGUCGGGACUCAAAUAUGUGCUGUCGUAGUCAGUAAUUGUGCAAUUGCCUGUAGAUGGCUCACACUUGCCAGCGACAUGAACAGGAUUAAAACAAGGCAUAAACGUCGACCUCACCGGAAUCCUCAUCUCUCUACCUCCUAUCUAAGAAUUGCAUAUCCUUUCUAUAUGAGAAAUUUGCCAAAGUGGUUGGUUUCAACUUUUAAAUACAUUUAUUACUUCACAAUCCUCCCAAUGAACAAGUUGGUUGCACAAUUUGCCGGUUUAAUCUCGCGGAUUCUUGGGUUCUUGAUGCAAGAAACUAGAUGGGAAAAUGAUGACAAAUCAAUUGAGGAAUACAAAUUUCUUUGCCAGAAACAUAAUGUGCGUGUCAGAGAAUGGAUACUGAGGAAAGGUGUGGAAGAUAUGGAAAGAUGGAUGGAGUUGAAUCAGAGUAAAUCUCUAGACCAUCUCAGAAGUCUGCUAUCUACAACUAAUCCAUCACAAGUGCUGCUCACAAAGGAACUUUUUUUUUUUUUUUUUUUUUUUUUUAAUAAAAUACCCUGAGGGGCGGGGUUUGGCUGGACCCCUACCUGUCCAUUAAAUUGAAAGAAGUAUAGCUUUUAAGGGGGGCUAGGCCUUACCGCUCACAAAGGAACUUAGAAGGCAAUUACAUCCGAAUGCUGGGAGUGAAGUUUCUUUUCUUUCUGUUCUACUACUCGUAGAAAUGGCAAGAGUUUCUAUACCAAAUUCCCCAACUUUAUCCUUAAUGGAGAGUGCCUUAGGUGAAGUGUUUGAAAUCAUUCAUUUUGUUGACAGCAAAAUAAAUGUUGGAAGCUUCAGUAAUAAAAUAAAACUCAUGUCUGCUGAAGUUCUUUGGAAGGACAGGACCACUUGUGGUGUCAUUGAUUCAGAAAAGGUUAAGAACCUAACGGAUGGCAUGGUUCACUUUCCAUCCGACUUAAAUCACACACUUGGGCUCAUUAGAGUAUUUGAUCAGUUAUUUGCCGUUGAUGUUGUACGCGAUGAAGCAAGUGACAUUGUUAAUUUCAUCCAAAGUAGAUCAUACACUUCACUAGAACAACUUUAUGAUCAGAUAAGAAGACUAUUUAUUGACAUGUUGCACGUGCUUCUUACUCAACUCCCAAUGGCAAUAUUCAAUCAUAUUAUCGAGAGCCCUGUUCAAGAAUACGAAGAAAGAGUCAGACUUGGCUUGAAAUUUGUUUGCCAAGUCGAAUCGCUCGAUUCUUACGUGCAAUGGUCAUUUCCUAUCGGAUGCAAUCUCCAUAGCUUGGUAAAUGCUCAAAUUUCUGCUACAGAAACUGUUCCCAGUUCCCCUAUGGAAUGCUUUGUUGUUUCUGAAGAUGAGGGGAAGAUCAAUCUUGUCUAGAGGAUGAUAACGUUUAAAAUCAUCGAAAUCAGUGACGUGUAUGUUUCUUUUAACUUCUGGAAAUAAGAUGACCGAUGAAGUCUUUUUAUGUGUAUAUAGCUUUUAUCAAUGUUUUCUUCGCAUUAUCUUGUGGUAGAAAUGAUUUUGGCAGUCACUUUAGCACUUGAUUUACUGCUACUGUAUUCGUUUUCAUUAAAAAGGCUAAGGUUCACUUGUUGACAAAUCAAUCUCUCAAAUAUGUUCUCUCAAUUGAUCUCUCGGCUUUCUGGACUUAAGCAAGAGAAUUGACCAGAACAUCCUAGCAAACUGCUAUCCAAAGUCCAUAAUGACACAAGUAGAAAUUGUUAUAAUUAUGUGCAAGUCCAAGUUCCCAAGGGAACAAAUGAGGACAACAACUAAAUAAGUAGACUUUCCAAACUCAAAAAUUGUCCAAGGAAAAAUUAAAUGUCUGAAUUACACUGGCACUACUCUAAACACGAAAACUGGAAUGGUUCUCAGCCAGAGGCCAAGCCAGUCUAAACAAAAUCAUCUAAUCCGCUUGUUUAGACAGGUUCAUAGCUCAAUAUUUCAUCAAAUUGUUAUUAAGGGCCAAGUCUGUUUUCUCCUAUAUUCUGCGCCAUACUUUUUCACCACUCGAAGGCCUCGUAAGCAUACACCAAAUACUUCAUGGUUUAUAUUUUUUUAUUCUCCUUGCUUAUUUAUACGUUCUCAUUAUCAGAUAGUUCAGUACAUGUUUCAGUUACUCCUACUCUCCAUAAUUAUAUUUUUCACUGUGGACCUGACUCUAUCCCAUCCCCAAGUCACACACAACAACUCACAUCUUUGAAUUAAAGCUCGGAAAUAAUUCUUUCCACACAGUUCAAUAUAUUGGAACCAUUUAAGAGCAUCGCACAACAUAUUACACGCACCAAUGACAGGCCAUUUAAGAUUACCCCAUGCGAGCCCAAGCCUUUAGCCUUAACACAUGCACCUCCCCUUCUCUCACUGCUUCUUUUAUUGAAGAUUUCAAUUUGUACAGGUCCAUAUUUUUCGAGGGAAAUACCACAUAGAAUAUAAUAUUGCAAAUAAAUAAUAUCUGACGGAUCUCACUAUGUAAUGCAAGUAUUUUUAGACCAGGAAUGUCUUUACGCAAUGUUUAUCUUACGUUGUGCCUUCGUAAGGAUUUUCAAACAAGAGAAGUUUCCGCAAAAAUCAUAAAUGGCAUAUCAAUGCAGUACUUCAAUAUAUUUCUUCACAAAAAGAAAGUAACAAUCAUCAUUAUACAGUAUGAAGAAAUCAGAAGGAUGUGAGCUUAGUUCAAAAGGUAGCACAAAAGGAGGGAAACAAUCCUGUAUAAAUUAUGCAUGAUAUCAACUUAUUCACCACCUACUAUGUUUGAAGUAUAAAACCUUUAAAGAGAGUGAAGAAGAUCCAAAACUGCUUUCCGUGCAGGCAUACUAGGAAUGGCCCCUUUCACUUGAACACAAAGAGAAGCUGCCGCCGCUGCAACCACAACAGAAUAUUGAGUAAAGCAUGGAUCAUGAAAAUAAGAUGAUCUUUAUCAAAAAAAAAAAAAAAAAUGAAAAUAAGAUGAUGCAAAGAGGAAUACACACCAGCAAAUUUGAGGCAUUCCUUUCUGGACUUCCCCUCAACAAGUGCCACUGCAAAAGCUGCAGUAAAAGUAUCACCAGCUCCAGUUGUAUCAAUAACUUUCGUGGCUGAAAUGAUGGGUUGAUUGAUUGGCUCUUCCCCUUCAACAAAUAAGGCUGAUCCCUUUGACCCCAGUUUGACUAGGACUUGCUUUACACCCUGAAAGUGAAUAUAUCGUCAACUCAUAACAUGUUUGUGCCAAAUCUAACAGUAUUAAAUGGCACAUCUGUAUCCGUAGUUAAUUCUAUCAUUAUAAAGAAUAAUAGUUGUUCAAUAAUUUCAUCAAAACAUCAUCAUGUUAAAUAUCAAAUGAAAAUCCAUCUCUGUAAUUUUAUUUUCACGCAUAUUUAGUGGCCCAAUUAUGUUUAAAAUUUAAAAUCUCACUACAAAACCCUUAAAAACACCUCUCCAAUAUAUUUUCUAUAACUUAAAGAUACAAAAUAAAUGAAGUGUGACACUCCCCUCUCAACUGUUGUAAACUGUAAUCACUUUUUGAGACUCAGACCAGUGUGAAGCUAGUGUUCUCAUGCAUCCGCGUAAUUCAUGCAAGAGAUCUACAUACGCAAGCAGCAACUCUAUCAUUCUUGCUGAAAAUUUGUGACGAUAGAAGUAGGACUUACCAUUUUAUAGCAUUUUACCACAGCCUGACUAAUCUGUUCAAAAUUUUCUGUCUCCAUUCCAGUCAAACGUGCUAGUUCAGUUUCAUUGGGGCUCAGUAUGUCCACAAAGCUUAGUAGUUCUACUGGGAUUGGCCCUUCCAUCCCCCCAGCAUCCAAAAUUACUGGAACACCUGCACUUCUCGCAGCCUGAAAGACAUUCAAGUUUUAAGAGUAUGUAAAACUAAGCACGACAUUAGCAGAAGUAGUUGUAUUAUGAACAAAUUUUGGACCCACGUCUCAAACUUCAAAUAGCAAAAAGUGGAACAUCAUAUCUGAUUCAUAUGGCACGGAAAAAGAGUCCAUCAAGGACAUCAAAAAGUAAAACAAAGCUCAAUCAGUAAAAAAUGCCCCCAAAACAGCAAAUACUGAAGUUUGUUGUGAUAGACGUUAUUCAAUUGGAAUAUGGCAAACCUUGGUGCAGUUCAUGCGUGUAUGUAGACUUGCAUUAAAGAGUGAAGUGAAGAGCGGUCAGCUUUAAGACUGGUUCUGGCAUAUUCAUCCAGUUCAUCUUUUGUGAGAUAUUGGUUGCAUUUCCUGCCCCAAAUGUAAAAUAAACAAAAUCUAUGCUCUAUUCGGGCGUGUACAAUGGAUGGUCCAGUAAGAGUGCUGUAUGUCCCUGCUACACUUUUUGGAUGUUACUUUUAUUGAAAAGUCUCAAAAGUAAGGGAUGUUAACUUAAAACAUAUCUGCCUCGAUUAUAUUUCCCUAAUGAUCCAUGUGGGUAAACUAAAAGUUGGCAGAAAAAGUUCGGAUCUUCAGCUUCAGUCUCCGGGACAUGGGCUUAGAUGAUGGAAGAAAUUCUCUCAGGAUGGUAUUAAGUAGUAAAUCAAUAUUGUCCUUGGGCAAGAAGCCAGAAACUAAAUAUGAUGAAAGUUUUCAUGGUUUGGCAACUAUGGGCAUUAAGGUAUGUGGUUUGUGCGCUCUUACCUACUGCGGGAUAACAAUAUACAACAUUAUUGUUGUCCUGUUUCUGCAUAGUCUGUUUCUCUUAUAGUCAUAUCAUCAUAUUCAUAUGUGAAUGUGUUUUAAGGUUUUGAAAUUGUGUUUUAAUGAAAUUGAAGUAGAGUUUAUCAUGUGGCUAAUUGUGUAAUCCCCAAUCCGAAUCGUUUAGACAAUAAAAGAUUUGGUCGGGUUGUUGAUCGUUUAUCAUGUGGCUAACAUUGUAGAUACCAAUACGCAAUGACACCAAACAAGCAAGAAAAAUUCACCAUAUUUACAAAUUACAAUCAAAAUGGAAGACAUAUGUAUUGUAAGAAUAAUCUGUAAACAUCCAGAACAAAAAGCAAUUAAACCCCAAGUUCUGACCUUUGCGACUUGAAUGUUAACUGAAUCUGGAAUCUCCCUCUGAAGCAAAACAAUCCCAGCAUUCUUCACAACCUCCAAAUCUUUCUCAUCAAAUUUCUCAGGCCAACAACACAUAUUAGCACCGCCGACAAUAAUAAUAGAGUUCUGCCCAUCAGACUGAAGCAUCACAACAGCAUGUCCAGUAGGAACAUUAGAAACAACAUUAAGAUGAUCAAGUUGAACCCCACCAAUUUCUAAAGCUUCAGUAAUCAAUCUACCAUGAGCAUCUUCACCAACUUGUCCAACAAAAUAAGUUGGAUAAGAAAGUUUACCACCACAAGCAGCUUGAUUAGCACCUUUACCACCAGCAAGAGUUUGACCAGUUUUCGCAGAAAUGGUUUCUCCUUCUUUAGGUAAUCUAUCAAUUUCAACAUAAAUAUCUGCAUUUGCUGAACCAACUACUACUAAUGGUGGGUUGUUCUGAUUUUGGGUAAUUGAGGUUUUAGAAGGGUUUAUAGAAUAUGUAAGAUUUGGGUUUUUGUUUGAAGAGAGGUUGGUUUGAUUUAGCUUAAUUUGAGAUGGAAUGUUGUUGAAGGUUGUUUUAGAAUGUUUGGUGGUGGUGGUGGUGGUGGUGAUACUGGUUGAAAGCCAGUUUUGUUGUGAAGGAGAAAGUGCCAUCUUUGAUCUUUCUUUCUCAGAUGGAAUUGAAGAAAAGUUGAGAAACAGAUGCAAAGAUUAAUCUUUAUAUAGAAAAUUAUUAAAAACUGAUAAGUAUUAAAAGAUUCCCAAUACACGUAAACUACAUAUUCCUUCAAACUUUAUCCAAAAUUUACAAUUCUAAUCAGAGUUAAACUCUAUCUACUGAUGUGAUUUCAUGUGAUAAGGAAUUGCUAUGCUUAUUGGUAAAUUUAGAAAAAAUAAAAUAAAAUGUUUCUUUGCUGCAUUUUGAUGUAUGAAUUACUACAAUUUUAAGCAGAAUAUGCUUUGUCUGCCAUAAGUUGAAUGUGUACCAAAUUUUGAAUGCAGUGUUUGACGACGAUGUCUACUGUAACAUGCCUAUCGCGACUCUUAUAUAUGUGCACAGGGUUUAUAGCUUCUUUUUUUCCCGACUAUUGUCAGUGUUCCAAGCUGCUGGAACUGUGGUAAGCUGAGAUCUGAUAAAAUUAUCUCAAGAACAUAAACCAGUUAACGGGACACAUGAAAACAUCAAGACAUAUGCCUCUGGAUAAUAAUUACUGACAAAAUUUAUGUCAAAACAAUCAUUAUUGACAAAUCUCUAAAUCCAUACAUUCCUUUUUUAUAUUGGGGCAAUAAACUUAUGCCUCAGGCAGUCAUUGCCUCAAAAUAUCUUCACAACACAAACAGGAGCCCUUCCCCUUGCCGCUCACUCAUAUUUGAAGGGCAUCUGCAAUGGAUCCCGCCAGACUAAUAACUUCAAAGGGAGCCUUGUUUGCUAUGGCUUUUGCAGUUGCUGGACAGGAAUCCGUAAUCCAAAAAUAGGCAAACGCCUUCUCCGAUCCCUCUGAGGAAAAAACAAACUAUGGAAUUAUAAUACUUGCAGAAUAUAUAACAAGAAGGUUAACAUGCAGAAGUGCAAGGAUUACCUUCAUUUUUAUGCAUAAAUCGUUCCCACGACUGCUUUGGAAACACACCAUGGGUGACAUAUGCACUGACUUUAGCAGCACCCUGAGCAGCCAAAACUUUCUGAUAGAGCAUCAAGAUAGAAACCAAGUAUUAGUUUUAUCAUUAAUUAUUUGGAUAAGAUUCUAAACAGACCAUAUCACUCAACUUCAUGGAACGUGCAGAAUAUGUACAUAAAAGAGAAACUCUAGGGUGAAGUACCGGGACUGAGUAAAUUUAUCUUCUACCCAAGCAAUCGUGAACAUAAUGGAACGUGCACAUUCAAAAUGUAAAGAAGAUCCCAAGCAUGUUCCCACAAGCUGAGCUGGUAAAGUUUGUGGGACUUCGUACUAUAGGCUUUUGUUCAAAACCCACCGACGCCAUAUAAAUCUUAAUUAUAUUAAACAAACAAAAGCGCUAGGACAAAUAUAUAAUUUCGCUACAAUUCUGAAGUACAAAUAUGGAACACGAAUAGUCGGUCUUUCCUUUUUCUAUUUUACAGUCUCUUAUCUUUUGUAGUUUCUCAAUUGACACAGUCUGUAAUUCCUAAAUGGCUGUUUAAGGGAAUGUUCAAUACCAAAAGUUCAAAACAAUAUAAAAAAACAUGUAUUACUUGUAUAUGUUAUAGAAAGACACUAAAAUAAAGAUGAAACAUAACAUCCUUUAACACGAGAAUGGUUUCCACAGAGUCUAAGGAUAGUGUAAGACCAUGAAACAAGCAUGCUAAGUAUAUAUCAAACAUGUACAAACUUAAGAUAAAGUAAAUUCCCUUUCUUUUUAUUCAUUUAAUUCCGCUCUAACUUUUUUUUUCUGAUAUAAGAUCAAGAUAAGGUAUUAAUCAGAGAAUCAAUACCUGACACUCAAUAAGGGUACCUCCUGACUGAACCAAAUCAUCGACAAUGACAACAUGGCGCCCAGCAGCACUACCCUCCUUCAGGCGAACUAUUCUCUUGUCCCCUUCACGAACCUUUGUGCACACAACCUUUCACCCAAAGAAAACAACAAGUAAAGGCAUAUUAACAAUUGGUAUGACAUUGAUCGCCAAGCAUGGUUAGAGAAAUUCAUACAAACCAUUGGAAAAUGCUGCAACUGCUUGUGGAAUCUCUUCCAUGCUCCAUCAUCUGGGAAUGCAAUGCUUAUCUGGAAAAUAAUGAAUGUAAACUGAAUUAUCAAUCUGGAGGCUGUGAAGGCAUAAUUAGGACAAAAAUUAUGAUAGAAACGUUGAGAAGGAUAAAAAUUAUUUCCAGCCAUGAUGCAGAUGUUUCUUAUAGGAAAAUUCUAGAGAAUAACUUUAGAAAAUAUUAUAUUACUCACAUUGUCAGCAUCCGGAAGCUGAUGGAGGCGAUGUUUCAACAGAGGGAUCCCAGUCUCAAAACAUGGUAGAACAUUAUCCCCGAAAUAAAAUCUUUCCUAGAUAUGUUCAAAGAGAAAUGUCCAUGCUUAUGAUCAGCUCUCAAUUGGUUCAAUAAUGGAUGCAUAGAAAAUAAUAAUGUGUGGAAACUUCAAAAAGCAUGGACAGCAAUAAUUAUGAACUAAAGAAUCUAAGUUAUGCAGAUUUGAGAAGUAAAUGAAGAAAUAUCACAAUAAAAAGGCACAGAGACAUGUAAAAUCCUAGAGUGGCACCAGCCAUCAAUACAUACAGAUAACGGUCUCAUAGUUUGGCCAACAAUUGAAAAGAUGCAGGAUGGACAGAGUUUCAAAUUGAGGGAGCACCAACGUAGGAUGGGUAUAUGCACUUGGCAGAAAUAAAAUAGCCUGAAUACAUACAGAACAUAGAAUAGAUACAGAACAUAGAAUCUCCAAGCAUUGGACAAAAGCACUCAUGCAACAAAUUCAACAAGAAAUAAUACAGAAUUACUUGCGCAUAUGAUUAAUUCAUCAAUAACCGAACAUCAACUACAUAAAUAUAUAUAUGAAACCAGUAAGUGUUGCUUGAUUCUGUGGAGUGAUUUCAUUAAGUCGAGGAACUAAAGAAACCUAAAAAAUGGAAUUUCAAACAAAAAAAUGUGAUUAAAAGUCAAAAUUAUGCAAGAUUAAUGAAACACUCCAAACAGAUGAAUAGAAACUAAGUAACUGAAUAUGCAGAAUCAACUUCGUAUAUCCAUUGUUUCUCAACAUAACGCAUCAAAAUAAAUAGUGCCAAAUAAUUAGAAGAAAAAAAAAACAAGACAAUAAGCACAAAUUGUAAAAAUAUAUCCACCAACUUCACUGGAGGAAACUAACCUGCAGAGCAUGUAUAUCAUAAAUCACUAAACUAGUUGGGCCACCCCGUGAUAUAGGAAUAUUUGACAAAAUUCGAGCCAUGGUAAACGCAGUUGCAACAUCCCCUUCUUCUUCCAUGCGCUCAAAAGAACCAGUUGGAAAGAAUGGCAAUACUAAUGUAAAAGAAGCAGCAAACAGUCGUGGUAGGGCAAAUAUAACAGAAAGUUGUUCAAAGAUAACACAUGGUGAACUGAAGGAUGCCAAAAAGGCAACAUGACGACCACGGAUAUUAUGUGCAUUGUUGAUAAAAAGGUUUGGGAAUCCAUCAGCAAAGCUCCUGAAAUUUGCAAAGGUAUGCAUCACAUUCAACAUACAAUAUCAAUGUGACUGAAAAGUAACCUUUGUCUCCAUUAGCUACACAUUACACUUUCCUACUGCAAUCUUAAAUAUUCUUACCAGAACAAUACAGAUUCCCCAUAUGUCAACAAAGACAUUCAUUCAAUUACAUUAUAUGUUAAAGCAAAAUCACAUCCGCCAUGUGGUUGACAAUGGAAUUCUACAACAGAGACAUAUCAUUCUAUAUUUUCAUAGUUCGGGACUUCAGCAGUUCAACACGACAACAAAACUUUCUAAAUAAACAUAAGCCACACAAAUUACGCCCUCUUCAAAAUAACAAUGCCACUAGAGACUAGACCUACCCCUUCCCCGCUAGGUUUAUCCAAGUAGAAUCAUGUAUCAUCUGCACUAAAUAUCUGAUAGUUUCUUGCAGAUAUGUUAAUAUCACUACCCAGCUUUUCAAUCCAAAAUGCAAUCUUCUACAAAUAUUUAUCAAAAUUGAAAAUUUAUCUUUCUAUCGGAAAAAAAAACUAAAAAAAAUACAACUUUUUGCAGUGGUUUAUAAGCAGAAAAGAAAACCAAAACCUCCAUUUAGUAGAACAAAUUACAAAACAUACAAGAAAGAUGGAGUGAAGGAAAUUAGACAGAGAGAAUAUAGAAGAGCUAAACAUGAAAACUUUCACUAAAAAAGAGUAAUAAAUUUAAGGCAAAAGAAAAAUACCCAAAAUUUAAAACUUAAAACCCACUUCUAAAGUUGCAAACUUUAAGCAAAUGACCCAGUUGGUAAUGAAGAAAUUUUUAUUGAAAAAAAGGGAUUAAGAGAAAAACCUCCAAUUUAUAGACUGAAGUUGAAUAGAAUCUGAUAGUUCAGCAAUUUUAUGAGCAAGUUCUUCAGACUCAACACAGUAAAACAGAAGAACAUCUUUCUUAUUUGGCGUCUCCAUUCUCUCUCUCUCUCUCUUCUUCUUCUUCUUCUCUCUCUCUCUUUCUUCUCUCACUGUGUUUCGGCUUUUGCUUUUGUUUUGCUUUUUCCACCUUGAUGACUGUGGGGAAUGAAGCAUAUUUGGGCAUUUGGGCGUACUCAUUAAAGUUUUAAGUUAUAUUAGCACCCAGAGUCUUAAAACUAAACAAAGUUUGUAACGUAUUACGUAUAUGACCCAAACAUUGUCAUUGAACAUGUGAAUGUGAGUGCAAAUAGCCUACCUACAAAUUCCUACAUGUAGCAUGCCAUUAUGCUGCUAAUGCUUACAUGAAACGAAAUAUUAGUGGUUUUUUUUUUUUUUUUAUAAUGAAAUAUUAGUGUUUGUGUUUCUUUUAUGCCACAUGUUUCAUAAUUUAUUGGCCAAUAGACCUAAUUAUAUCAUAUAGAUUUCUUAAGGACCAUAUAGUAUCCAAGAAAAUUAAGGUCUUCGGUAUGAAAGGAACUUUAGUACUUUACCUAUGUCUCGUUCUUUUCAUUUCCCACGAUACUAAAAAUUUCCAAUGGUUUCCAUGCAGUCUUUUGAUUAAUUAUGUGCAUUAAAAUUAGCCAUCUUCCAGGUGCAGGGUCGCGCUAAGAUCUUAAUGGUCCAAUGCUAAUGAAAAACUUUGGCCUCUAUAUGUUAAGCAUGAUUUAUAUCUAAAUUAUAAUCAGCAAAUGGUGCAUAAUUUGACUAGGACCGAUUAUAAAAUGACUAGGACUGAUUUGUAUUACGUCGGAUAUAAUUAAAGCGGUGACUAGGAUUAUGUGAUGAUUAGGAUCGAAUCAGAUUAUCAAUUCUACUAAACCUUUCUUCCUCUUUCCUAAACUCGUUAUCUCUCUCUCUCUCCCUCUCAUCCUCUAAAAAUCUAAAAUCUAAAUCUCUCUCACUGUCUCUAUUUCUUUCUCAGUUGAUGACCAUAACUCCCAGUCUUUUCGCUUUAAUUAUAUCCGACGUAAUACAAAUCAGUCCUAGUCAUUUUAUAAUCGGUCCUAGUCAAAUUAUGCACCCUUUGCUGAUUAUAAUUUAGAUUACAAAAGAAAAGCUCUAAUUAACUGACAACUUCCAUUUUAACAUCAAUGUAAUGUAUCUAUGGUGGAAUUUAAAUCCGAUCAAUUUUGACUUUUGAGUGUAAACUUAGUUUGUAUUUUCACUCAAUUGAUGACGCAGAGAGAAAAGUUUACCCUUUGCAAAUAAGGUAGGAGGAAGAAAAAUAGGUUUACCCUUUGCAAAUAAGGAUGACGCAGAGAGAUUUAAAUCGGUCUUUUGGCCCUUAUAUCAUGCUUUUAGUAAUCUGUAAUGUACGAGGCUCCAAAUUGCGUACAAAUAAACAGUCCCAUGCCAAGCCAAUUACUUGGUGGAUUUAGAAUCUACUACCUGCAGCGGUUCUUUGGGUUAUAUGGAAAAAUAUAGAAAUGAUCCUAUCUGGAGCUUCACCCAAUUGUAUAAGUUGCCCAGAGUUUGUAAUCCUUUUUACAAAUUAAUAAGACUUUUCCUUAUAAAGAAAAAAAAAACUAUUAACCAAGUUCCUAUAUCUUAUGUUAUCUCUAUACGGCUAGAUUCGUUCAUCACAAAGAGGUGGAUGAUCAGCUGUUUUUAUCUUCAAUUCUUAUCUACAAUACAGGUAUGAACUCAUCACAUUUUUUAUCUUAAUAUUGUGUCCCUAUUUUGCUCACUGGAUAUCAGGAUACAUCCUAUAUCAAGUUAUUAAUUGAUGUCCUUAUAGCAAUAAAAUAUUAGUAAUUAAUUAUUGGAAUUGAGUAGUAAAGAGCAUUUAGAUCCUAUUAUUGGACUUAAAUAUUGUCUGAAUAGAUGUUUUUGAGUUCAUAGAAAUCAAAUUAACAUGUCCACAAUCCAUUUUAUGGUAGUUUGUUUUCGUUGUGUUUGAGAAGUAUCAGUUUUAUUCAUUGCUAUAUGGGGGUUAUAUUCAUUGUGUUUGCCUUCAUUGUUAGUUUAAUUUCAGAGACCUGGAGAAUAUAAAUAUUGUCGUGCAGGUAAAGAUUGGCUUCGAUUAGUUGCAAUGAGGUGGCAAGAAUAAGAUUCAACAGCUUGCGAUCUUUGAAAAAGUGUAUGGAAGAAUGGCCGGAGUUGAGCAAAAGAGAUUUUUGCGGGAAAGUUUGGUCCAUUUUUCCUUAUGUCGUGGUUUGGUUCAUUUGGUCACUCAGGAAUGACAUUAUCUUUAGGGAAAAGACUGCAGGUUUAUAUACAUCAGUUCUGAGUAUCAAAGUUAUGGUGUGGGUGUGGUUACAGAUGGAUAAUCGAGCGAUGCAAUUAGAGAAAAUAGAUCCUUUGCGUAGCAGGUGAUUGGCAAGGCAGUAUGGCUGAAAGGAGGGACUAAGGACUGUUUUGUGCAGCUUUGAAACCGAGCAACAUGGAUUAGCAGCAACAUUUAAAGUUCGGCACACCUUCAGGGGAGUUGCCUGUUUCUGUCUGUUAAAAGUGCUGAAUAGACAACUGAGAUGCAAAACAGGGGACUGAAGAGGUCAUUAUUCUUUUCUUUUGAUGUCAAUACUAUGCCUUUCCAAAGGGUUCAGUGCUGGGUUUCAUCCAUUUGAUUGUAAUCUGGAGGCCUGUCUCCAGGGAUGUUAUGAUGUACUGUCAUGUUGAUCAGGGGUGUAGGUUACAACUUUUAAUGAUUAAUACUAUAGCUAUACUGAAUAAGCACAAACAAAGGGGUAAAUUAAAAGUACAAAAGACCAUAAAUUAAUUAUUGAUUGCGUAUAUAGUUUUGAGAGGUGCAAUUUCCUUAAGUAGAUUGUCAAUUCUGAAAAGCCAGGCGGGGCUGAGGCAAUAUUUUGGUAAAUUUUUUAAACCUACAAUUUCAAAAAAUUUGGCAAAUUUUUUACUAGGAUUAAUUUUCGCAAAUUGUAAGGUUUACUUCUAGAAGAAGAAGAUAUUUGUUUUGCAGGACUUAUCCGAUUUGCGAGUAAGAUAGAAUUUGCUUCAGACGAGAGAACGACUCACGAUUACCUGUUUAAUGAGCAAAUGUAUAUUAUAGCUAAUUGCCCUCCAUUGGUCUAGCGUGUGACAUAUAUUAUAGUUAAUUGCCCUCCAUUUGCUAAGAUGCACUGUGUGUUCUGAUCUUCAGUAGUCAUUUUUAUUUUGUUUUGAUCUAAUUAGUAAGCUAAUUGCAUGUUCUUCUAAUAUGUCUUCUGUUUCCGAUGUCAUUUUGAAGAUAUCCUUUUCUAAUUUGCCUUCUGUUUUCUGAUCCAAUUAGUAAGCUAAUUCCAUUUUCUAAUAAGUUGGUGUGAUCUUCCGUUUCUAUUAAUUUUACACUGUUAGUAAGCUAAUUGGAUCUUCUUCUAAUAUUCUUCUAUCUGUUGCAGAUCUCAAACAGCCACAGUUCUUUGCUUUCAAUCAAUUUAGUUGGUCUUAUAGAGGUUUGCUUCUCAUCCUGUUUUUAUCUUUUAGCUCCCUUUCCUUUACUACAACUUAUUUGAAGAGUAUGAUCUAGAUUAACAACAAAUGUUAUUGAUUGUUUUUCUCUGCGGUUAUGUUGCAUGGCACUUCAAAAAAAAAAAAAAAAAAAAAAAUCCAAUUUAACGCGGUGACAGAAGUACUGGCUAAAUACAAAAUUAACGAAAUGUAGCAUGUCAAAUUACUAUUUUCAAGAUAGUGCAGUGUAGCAUUACUUCAAUGUACUUAUGCAAUGUAGCAUUAGGAAUCACAUGUAGCUAACUUUGGUUCACAAAGAUGGCGGCUAAAGAAAAUCAUAAAACAGAAUGUUGUCCGUCUCCUUGCGCUUUGUUAUCACACUAAGGGAUAAUAAAAAGUUAAUUUUGGCCUUAGAUCUUCUAUAAUAAUUCCACAAGUAAACGCUAACAUCAUACAUAGGGAAUAAAACUAAAAACAGAAGGUCCAUGAUGAAAAAAAAUUUAGAAAACCUUUAGCAUAUACCAUUUUCUCUAUCUCUGACACAAAACGACCUACAUAAAAUUUUUAUACGAAAUAUAUUCUACACCUGAUCAUAGUGCAAGUAUAUCUACUUAUGUUGUAGAUGAAUAGUCCAUAGGGUACAAUACAACGAAAACUAAGGGAUAUCAAUAAAGUGCAGACAAUGAAAUGUAGUUGUUAGAUUUAUCUCAGUUUUUUUUUUCCAAUUCAAAACAAAUUUUAUUAAUAAAAAUUUGAGGAAUUAUACAAAGUUAGAGGACAAGUGCGCUACAAACUGCGCUGCAAGCCCUUUUUAAAUAGCAAAACCAAUCCUACGAAAUACAUAUUCAUUAAAACCCACCGUCAUCACAACGCUACAAACUACGCUGCAAUCCUACUUUUUUUUUUCUUCUGUUCGUUGGUUUAUGACUAGGCUCUCCACUCUAAAUCUACAUCUAUUAAUAUUUGCUUUAUUAAGAAUCCUUAAGUGUACAAAUUUGUAUGAUCCUUUAUUAUUAUUGAUUGUUUUUAUCUAGGUUUGAAACAUGUACUUUAGUUUUUUGUUCUUUGUAAGACGUAAUUUAUAAUCCUAUUAAUUUUUUUGUAGCUCCAAGGAUAAACAUGAUUUAGACUAACGAUCUGCAGUAUUAGAAAUAACUGCAAUGCCUAUUGACAUUGGAUGGAAGUUGUUGACAUGCUCCAAUUUCAUGAAUGUGUUUUACUAGACCUCCCUGAAUUAGAAAUGUGAAGCUCCUAAUUAUUACCUAAUGUUCCUAUUAAUUGUUUAAAAAAAUCCAAUAAGAGUUACAACUAUAGAGUUUUAUUACAUAAGUUAUAUUACAUAAGAUUCAGCUCGUGGAUAACUACUCACUUUGUCCUGAUGAUCUUACUGCAUUUUCAACUGUUCCAUGCUUUGAUACAAAUGCGUUUGAUGAUGUAAGCACUCUAAGCAGUAAGGAUGUGAAUAGGAACACUAGGGGCUGGCAAUGUUUUAAUGUUGAGGAUGUUGUCCAACUGAAUAAGUGCGACAAAUGAUAGCUUGAAAAUAGACCAAUGAAAGCAGUUGUGGAUGUUCACAGGUAGACUUGGGAAGUGUUGAAUUACAAGGACCUUACACUUAGUUUAAAGUAGACAAUACUAUAGGUUCAUGUAAUAGUAAUAUGUUCAUUUAACUGACAGGACAAGGCUUGCCUUAUGCUCAACAUGAUCCUAGGCAUGACGUGGGUUGAGAUCUCUUAUAAACGCUCUUAUUUUUCAAAAUAUUUUUUGCUUGGUGGGACUUUUGUUUUAUUGGAGAAGUGCUUCCAUGGAAAAUUCAGUUCAAUUGACUGCAUAUCAGCCUCGCUGGGUAUUGAAGUUUGGUUUGGAUCUUCCAAAUUUUCUGGAGAAGUUGUUGGCCUGUAUUUACAUGUCUUUCUAAUCAUCUAAACAGUCUUCUGGUGCGUUCUAUUUCAUUCAAAUCAAUGCAACUUAUCUACUGAGUAUACAAUUCUAUGGAUGAGUUUAACUUCUAUUAACUUACGUAAUUUGUGGCAGGUGUUUCUUUUGGAUGGUGAGUCUAUUUUGGAAGUGAUCAUUGGUUGCAUUCUCUUUUCUCUCAACAAACAAGUUUCCUUGCCCAAUGCAAGUCUUGAUGAUCCCAUACCACCAGUGGGAGGACUAACUAACGCUCUCAGUAGGUUGUAGUCCAGUAGACCCCCUCAGAGAAUUAACAGAAGUUUCUAAGGUCAGUUGUGCUAGCAAAAAAGGUUUAUAGAUGGAAAUGUAUUGAUAUGUUUAAACUUUCUCAACACAAUUCAAUUUCUUUCAAUUUGAUGUUGCAGGGAGUUACAAAGCAGAUAGGAGGGCAUGUGCAUGAACUAGCUCCUAAAGUUGAUGAAUGUACGUGUGGGGUGAUCAGUGGUUCUAAUUCAUGACUAUUUGAGUUGGAUCUCCACUACAUUGGUCCAGUGGACGGUCACAACGUAGAUAAUCAUAUACACCUUACCUGGUAGGAAACAAUUUACUUCAACAUGUUUGAAGAAAGAGUUUGUCAUUAUUAAGCAAUUUAGGUGCUCUUACUACAUCCAAGGUUGGAAACCCUCUAGACACAAUGUCUGGAGUAGUUUGAGAGUAGAGACACAUUUUUUAGGAAUCCAUUUUUGCUCUCCAGCCUAGAAAAUUAGACAUUUGUAAACAUUUAAUGUGUCGAAAUUCAGUGUUUUCAUCUGGGUUUAUUGUCAACGCCGGCUAUAGGCGUGCAUAUAUUGGGUUGUUAUGCUUCCAUCAUCUGUUGUUUUAAAACAUGGAUUAAAACCAAAGAUAAUAUUAUUAUUAUUAUUUUAAUUCAAAACAAAUUUUACUAAUAAAAAUUUGAGGAAUUAUACAACGUUAGAGGACAAUCACGCUACAAACUGUGCUUCAAGCCCUUUCUAAAUAGCAAAACCAAUCCUACGAAAUAUAUAUUCAUGGAACCCGCCGUCAACACAUAGUUAUUCAUACCUUUUGUACCAUUUUGAGAAGUUCAACUGCUUCUGGUUGGUAUUAAUGUAGAAUAUUUCACUGAAACUCAGCAACCAAAGUACAACUAAGUUUGAUUAUAUAAAUUGCAGACUUCAUACAACACUAUUAUAUAUUUUUCCAAAGUAGAAAUUGCAGACUCCAUACAACACUACCAUAAUUUGUCAUCGGUACUACAUCAAGUAUAAUGAAAUUGCUUAUGAAUUUUUGAUGGAUAAUAAAAAAAAAUAGAUACUUUUUUUUGAUAAGGAAAAAAAAUAGAUACUUUAGUCAGACAGAUAAAAAAAAAUGAAUCAUAUUCAUGAAUAAAAACUAUCGUGCAGACAGGUUUUAGAAGAAGAAGAUUGCAAACAAAUAACAAAUAAAAGAAUCAAUUAUAUACUAAUGAAAUGUUCGAGGUGAAGAUCGAAGAAAAGGAUAUAUAACUAUAAAAAGGCAUGAAAAAUAAUUUAAUUUAAAGUAAAAAAAAUUUGGAUAAUAUCGGUAUUUUAUUAAUAUAUCUGCUGCACAAAUAUAUACUAGAAUUGCCUUUAUUGUUUUUUUUUUUUUAGGUUUCAAUUAAAAUUUCUCAUAGUGGUUAGCAUCACAUGUUCUAUUUGGCCAUACUCCUCCAUGCCUUCUCUUCGUAAAUGAACUUAUACCUCUAACCUCUGCGUAUCUCUCCUUACCGUACCAAUUAUAUACCUAAAUUUGAAUCACUAGAACAAACUUUGCAAUUAUGUGAAUUUAUAGUUAUCAAAUUUAAAUAGAACAAACAAAAUAUAUUCAUCAAAAUUAGAAUUUACUAUGCAAUAUACAAUUAAUUGACGAACGUGGCAGCGCCACGGGUAUUACUAGUCUAAGUUAUAAGACACAAAGGGUAUAUAAGUUGGGGAGACAGUUUUGAGAAGAGACAAUUUUGAGAGAUAUUUUGGACCGUCUGAUUUUAGAUGGACGACAUAGAUUAGAUUUUUGACUUAAGUGGAUGGUCCAGGUGUUUUAAUGGGCUUGGACUCAAUUCGGAUAGAAAAAGGGCCAGUUUUGAUGUUGCAUUAUAACAAUCAAAGCCCUAAUCCAAAAUUCUUUCUCUCUUUCUGCUAUUCUUCUAAUCUUUUCUCACCGGCCAAACCUUAAUCUCUUCCGCUAUCUCUCUCUGUUUUUUUCUCGGUGAAUAUAUCUUUUCACAUAUGUUCAAUCAAUGUUAUGGUUUCAGAAAUUUCAAUAUUGAUUUAAUAUUUAUUCUUUACCAAGUUCAAUCAAUCUUCUAUCUACUCUAUCAUGGUUUUAAGGCUUAAUCUGAUAAAAAAAAAUUUCUGGGUUGGCAUGUAGUUAUCGUUAGACCUCCAAUCGUGUUCAUCAUCCUGAGCAUCGUCUUCAUCUGGUUUAGCUGUUGCUACUGCCAAAUUACUUAAGGGGAAUUUUGCUACAACUUUGUUAAACGUAUUGAUUUUUAGAAAACAUGCCUACUCAAUUUUAGGUUCACCAGAAAAAUUCGAACUUUUUUUUAAAAAAAAACAUGACUACCAUUGAAAUAGCAAUGCAUCAUUGUAUUUGGUAUUGGUUAUUGACUAUUAAGCAUACCAGCAAUAUUGUUAAUAUCUAAACAGUACUGUCUUGCGACUUACAAAUUACAAUUACUUUGUUCAAUUUACCCAUGUUGUAAAUUUAAGAAGUAGAUAUUGGUGAAGGGGACCUGUGGGAAUGGAAUUAUCUGUAAAUUUGUUGUUAAGCAUCAAUAAGUUCUGUUGCUUACAUUAGCCCAAUUCGCUAGGAUUAUUCAUGUUUAAGUGACUUCUUUGCGUAAUGUAAUAGGUGAUACAUUGUAUCUGUCUUAGCAUUGUUAAAUGGGAAGCACAAACCUUUCAUGCACAAUUAUAGAAUAUGCAGAUACGCUUCAAAACCCUUUUUUCUAUGUAUGUCACAUUGUUUAUUAUGCAUAUGAAGCUUAAGAAAGAACGCUCAACAAAUGAUAAUCUAUUUUGUUAAUUUUUGUCAAUUUAGAACAAACGUAGAAUAUUGAUUAAAGAGAGUUUAACAAACGGUAACUAAGGCAGGUCCAAUCAGCAGUAAGAACUCCACAUUUGGUCCUAUGGUGUUAUCCACACUCGCCAACCAGAGCUCAAUACUUAAACCUGACGAAAGAAAAAGCAUGAGCUGAAACUUGACUGGAUAUUCUAAUAGGCUUUUGAGGCAUUUUGAUGAGAAAGAGCCAUAGACAUGCUUGGUUAAUGCCCACAAGCUACUGUAGAUAAGAAGCAAAAAUAUCCAUUCAACAAAAGAGCUCCAUAGUGAUUGCAAAUUUGGAAUAAUCAAGGUGAGUAAUGUGUCCCUAUCUAUUCUACUUGAUUAUAGACAGUAAUUUGCAUAGCAUACUCUAUUUCUUACCUAAAGCCUAAAUAGUAGUUUACAUGUUGAUAAAAUAUCUUAGUACAAAUCUCGAAGAUAUUUUAACGAUUUUUUAUUGAUAAAUUGAAGUUUAGUAAAAUUGUAUAGGAUCAAAAGGUUAUGUGUUUUGAGAAUAAAUUUGACAUUUAGCAUUGUAUGCAUAAUAAGUUGGAGUAGCUCAGGUGGUUAGAGCGUGUGGCUUUUAAAGCACAAGGCCGAAGGUUCAAGCCCUUCCUCCAACAUCUUUAUCUUCUUAGAAUAGUUUUACAUUUAGCAUUAUGUGCGUAGUACUGUCAUAGUUACUAUGCACUAAGACUUUACUUGAUCAGGUUUUUCUGCCAAUUAGAGAAUAAGGUCUUAAAGGUAUUAGGAACCUUAUGUUUAGUUUGUGGAUAAACCAUCGAUCUAAAAUACAAUUGUUUGUGCACAACAGUAAAUUUGGAGUUAGCUAAUUGCCUAUUGUCUACUGCAAUUGUUUAUUUGACAACUACAACAAAUGAUCUCCUAUGAGAUUGCCUUUUGCUUAUUGCAGAUUUAUCAAGUGAUGUACUGGGUAACUGGUGGUGUAGUGUCAAGUGAUGUACUGGGUAACUGGUGUUGAACUUAAAAUAUAACUGUUAAAUUCUUGACUUAAGGAGCUUGUGAACAUUAACUAAUAUGAAUAAAAAAUUCCUAGAACUUGGCUGAUUCCUUGGACAAUGAUAGUUCUUAAACAUUUAUUAAAAUUCAGUACCUUAUCCCUCUUCCUGGAGUGGUUAUUUUAAGCAAAUGAUUAUUCAACAUCAGCUGUUUUUAUAUUUUCUGUGGUUUUUAUUUGUAAGCUACCUGAUUUAUAACAUCUAUAUUUUUAUUUUUCAUUCAUUGUUCAAUAUUUUGCUCAUUUGUUCAUACUUUCUGUCAUUUAUUAUUUUUCAGGAAACCUACACUUGAUGCAGCCUAACAUCAUUGAUAGGUAAACUUUGAUGAGGUGGUUUUGACUGCCAAGAAAACUCAUGUACAUAAUGAAACCCCAAACAAGUGCAAUAUAAUAUAAUAACAAACAGUAAAUAAAACAAGAAGAAUGAUAAAGAACACCAGAGAUUUUAACGUGGUAAAACCCAAACUGGGAAACAUUCACGGUUACCUUGAUCGGUAACAAAUCAAUCCACUAUGUUGUAAGAGAUUACAAGCCUAUCAAGUACUACUGCAUACACCUGCUACUUGUCACUAUCGGCUAUCUCUAACACCCUUGGAUUUCACCGGAGAACCUUGAUGAACACAUAAAGAUCUCAAAGUCUAGAAAGAUAGAUUGCUCCUUUAGUAUCCCUUGAUAGUCACACAGUCACACAAGGAGAUCGCGAAGCCAAUAUGCACUCACAAAGAAAUAUGGAUUAUAGUGGAGAGAAGGAAGAAUCAAGAAGAAGAAGAUAGAAGAUGAUGUUUUUCCAUUAACAAACAAACACUCUCAAUGGAGAAAGAGACAACUAGAGAGUUAGGCUUUCUAAUGAGAGAAAACCUAUUUAUAUGGACUCUAGAAAUAAACACAAGUCCAAAGGACGAAACAACUUGCUGGAAGAAUUUCGUUCGAACCUAAAUGUUUCGUCCGAACCAAAUACCAGUUUCUGCAUGAAUAAAAGAUCUGGAAGAAUUUCGUCUGAACCAAAGUGUUACGUUCGAACCAAAUCUUGACAGAUUGAAAACUAAGAAACUAGAGACACAAGAUGAUAGAGAAAGGAAUAAGGAAUGAGACACAUACCAAGGUUCAUCCUAACAAUGAAGUCCGAGCGAGAUAGCCGAUCACACAAACACGAAAUGAUGUCAAACCAUGGAACCAAAUGUCGGUUUCACAUAACCGUGUCGAAUUGGUGCUGCUUUCUAAGUUCAAAAUCAGCAAUUAAUAUAGAGAAUAUGAUUAAAAAUUAGAUUUUUAAGUAGCUUUGGUUUACUUUUUCAAUAUACUUAUUUUUAGAAGCCAAAUUCGAUCAUUCUAACAUUUUGAUAUGAUGUGCAGGCCAGAUUUCCAAGACUUCACAUAGCUAUAUGCUACAAGCAGCUCGAUAAUAUUAUGAAAGAUUUGAUCACAACCAUGACCGUUUCCCUCCUGCAGAUUCCAUCAAACGUGGUUUUGUUUAAUUUAUGUUGACUGAUGGAAGAUUCGUGUAUGCCUUCCUCCUCCACCUCAUCCCCAAAUUCGUAGUCAGCAUGCCUGCCAAUAAGGAUAUUUUGCUCUGCCAUCUCUUGAGAUUGACCUUUCCAGCAUUGAGAUAGAAACAACUUUUUGCAAAAACCAAAUUCCAAAAUAAAAACAUCUGAGACAAAGUGAGUUCUGGACAUUCUACCACUUCCCUCAUGAGACAAACAGGAGUAGAAGGUAAGAUAACUAAUUAUUGUCUAACCUUAUCUGUAGACUGUAAACUGUAGAGGCUUCAAGAACAAUUUUGUUUGUGUCUGAAUCCACAUGUAACAUAUCAAACUCGGUGUACUUUAAAAUUCAAAAAAUGUUGAGUUUUUGACAUUUGUUGCAAUUUUCUAUAUUAUAUUUGUGGGUGUCUAUUUUCCAAUCUAAAUGCAUGUUAAUUUCCCCCAGGAUGGCCUGCUAAGAUGAUCUGUGAGUAAUAUUUACAAAUCUCAAGGCAGAUGUGCUAAGAGCUUAAGAGUAUGCUUUAGCGGGACUUGGAGUGGUCAACAACCAUGAAACAAAAUUUCAAGCAGUGUUCGGAGCAAUAGAACUUGGAGGAAACAAAAUAUAGGAAAAGUUAUGGAUAAAGAUGAGCUCACAGUUGGUGACUCAAUACUUUCAACAAAACAAGGUAACAUGGAUUGUCAAAUACCAAUGCAGAAAUAUACCAACGAUUAAAGAUAUCACAGGCAGGAAAACUUAUUUUACCGCUAUUCAAACUGUUGAACAAGCUGCAGGUCUGAAUAAAGGGGAGGAACAAUAGUUUGAUGAACAUCCUUCUUUCGUUAAGAGCAUAGAAGUGCCUCACCAUCUAUAGAUUUGAUUAGGGUGAUCAUAUGAGGGCUUUUUAUUUUGUCUCUAAUUGACACUUUAUAACAUCUGAAGCUUAAGUAUAUAGUCACAUAGUUAAGAUGUUGCUUACAAAGGCUAUUUAAUAGGAAACACGCUGGUCUGGAUUCCAAGCCAAUCAAGUUUUCAUUUCUUAUAAGCUAUUUGUUACCACAUUUGCUAUGUAGCAGCAGAAUCCAUGGUAUUUCAAUUUAAACUCAUUAUAAAUUCCUUUGUUCACAGAAGAACUCCUUAACAAUUUUAAUAACCAUAGCGAGUAGUGUAUCCCUAUCAAUUACUUAUAAUAUUCUAGAAAUCUAUAUUGCAUACUCUAUUUUUGUAGCGCCUCCAAACAUUAUUUUGCUUAUUGAGAUUAUUUUUUACCUAAUACAGAUUCCGAAGAUUUUAAAAAAACUUUUAUUGAUAAUUGUAGUUUAAUGGAAUUAUAUAGGAACCACAAGGCAAUGUGUCUCCAGAAUAGAUUUAACAUUUAGCAUAGUAUGCAUAUUAAGCUGGAGUAGCUCAGUUGGUUAGAGCAUGUGGCUUUCAAAGCACAAGGUCGAAGGUUCAAGCCCUUCUUCCAGCAUCGUCAUUUUCUUAGUAUAGUUUUGAAAUCUAGCAUUAUGUCCAUAAUAGUAUCACAUUUACUAUGCGUUAAGACUUAGUUGAUCAGGUUUUGAAAAAAAAAUAAUUUGGUGUUGUAUAUCCUUAUUAUCAGACAAUAGGGUCUUCAAGGUACAAUAUUAGGAACCUUAUAUUAGUUUCUGGAUAGAAGCUUCAAUGUAAACUAUUGUUUGUGUAGAAACAAUUUGCCCAAGGAAAAAUUUGCUACUAUGGCCCUGCUUGGUUACCCCGCAAAAAUUUGCAUGAAAUUUAGCCUAAUUUAAUAUGCUUGAAACUCUUGAUAAUUAGUUUUAUGCACAAAAUUUAUGCAAAAGUUUGAUGUUAUUUCAAAAAUGCAAAAAUUUUACACCUUUCUCUAAUAAACUAGUAGGGAACCAUUUAUGAUUAUCUCAUGUUUAUGCAAGGUUUAAGUGGGGGACCAAUAGGGUUUAAGCUAAAAUAGGUGGGGGUCCAUUCAAAUCAAAGAGUAAACUUUUGAGGGACCACUCUAACUAUAGAUGGGUAAAAAUUUGCCUUUUUUGCAGCCCAAACAAGCAGGGCCUAUAGCUAACAAAUAAUGUUGAAAUUGAAGGGUUCUCUAAAUUCCAAGAGAACACAUAUUGAUAUUGGAGCUAACAUACGACAAAUAUUACCACCACUGUUACUCAACCUCCAGAUUAUAAUUUUGCCUAAACAGAGCUAAAUUUGCAGGUUUCAGUUGGGCUCAACUGGUAAAACCUUUGGAUGAUGAUGCCAAAGGUCUGGGGUUCGAAUCUCUCCAACAUUACUGAGUUCCAAAGGAACAGGUACAAUUUUCUGAUUAUCUAUCUCCAGUUUCUUGUUUUUAUCAUUUAUGUUUUAUUAAUACAAAAAGCUCUUAUCUUUUGUCUUUUAUUAUCUCGAUAAAAUAAUUCGAUUUUAAAAUUAAAUGUUUAAUGAUCUUAUCUUUCAACGACCAAAAUAUUUCUGAUAUAAUAUUUCGACUAUUCGGUUGAUAAAUAUUUUCUUAAUUUAGAAUUAAAUGAAAUCUAUUAGCUUACUAUGACUAUUGUUGAUGUGAGGAUAUUGGUUAGAUUCUAGGAUUCAUAAUUAUGCAAGUUGAUUUGAGAAUUAUGCCAGUCGUGUUUGAAGAAUCACUUCUAUCAUUGCAACAUGGUUGUAGAAGGCGACAUGUCAAGACACAACAGUAAGCUGAGUGUGAGGGUGACUUUCGCAUGCUUUUAACCAAUCUCUUUAAAUUGCAACUUCGUUAUUUCUUUGCUUGACUGAACAGAUGUCCCUACAUCUGUACAAUUUUAACAUAGUUUAUGACUCAUAAUUUUUCUUUUUCACGAUUAACCUCAAUCAAAGUUUCGUCCUUUUACUUUCAGGUUUUCUGCAUGCACACCAAGAGUAUAACAACGGUAUGUUGUGUCUCUCUCUCUCUCUUAUUGAAUAGUCAUAGUGCCCAACUCAUAUAAUCUAAGAAGCCUGACAUAUAUCAUAUUAUGAUUGCACCUCAACUAUAGGAAAUUUAAUUGAACUCUUAGAGCCACAAUUUUGAUGAUGUUGAAUAGUUGUUGCCUAGAGUAUAAUAUACCUAUACCCAAGUAGUCAUCUUAACUAUAGAACCACUUUAGAGAUUACUAUAUCUUCGUUCUUUGAAAAUCUUAGUGUGCCUUAAACAACAUAUAUUCCCCCAAUCCCAUUGGUGUUCAAUUUUGAACACUUGUCAACCACCUCCCUAACUUCAUUUUGGUUCCAUAACCUCGACAUCCACUUAUCAUGGCCAGUGAGAGCCUGGAGUAUCAUUUUUGUAGCCAGAAUAAAUCUAGAAACAAUCCCACUAUAUUCAUUGUUGUAGCUAAAUCUCGUACUUUGUGUUGCCUGUGUGAGAUCUGGAGGUAAUUUUGGUAUACUUAGAAUAUCAAUCCCGUAUGGCUAUGAAAUGAUACAUCACAUUCAGAUAUACUGACAGCAUCAGAGAAACAAGUUGCUUACCAUGCUUAGAAUCUGAUUUAGAUUUCUAACUAUCCAUUGAAAUCUACUUUGUUUUUCUUGCCCUUUUUAACUGUAAAAGCUAUCCAUUUCAUGGGAUUGGUAGUUACAUAACUAAGACCCAUCGAAUUAAGGGUAUAAUGGGCAAACAAACUAUGAAUAGACGGAAACUUGGGGGUGCUUAACAGAAGGGGGUUUACGCUAAGCUUGGACAAUAUUAGGGGGUUCUCGCCAAAUCUGGUCAAAAUGUGGGGGGUUUUGACCAAAUUUCUCAUUUCUCAUUGAUCACAUGUAACUAAGUCAAAUUGAGCAAUUGUACGUGUAGGUGCUUCAAUCUAUGAUUCAAAUAGGCGUUCUUGUGCCUACAGGGGUCAUUACAGCAGUGAGAAGAACCGCACAGUUUAUUCUUAGCAGGUCCAUAGCAUUAAGAGGAAAUAAAUAUACCGUGAAAUUGCAUUAUUUUUGUUUUUUAAAUUUAUCUUCUUUGUGUUGAAUAUUUAUUUAGCAAACAAAGCUCAAUAUGUUACAACUUUGAAGAAGGCCUUGUAGCACGAAAAAGAAAGAAAGAAAGAAAGAAAGGGAGAUGGCUAAUAAAGAUCUUGGAUUUAACAAACCAUUGAGUAAGAAGAAGAAGAUGAAAAAAAAAAAGACACGGUUAGCAUCAAUUGGUAUAAACUAAAAAUCAAGUACGGAAGUAGAAUUUGACCACAUGAAUCAGUAUAGUCCUUGUGGUAUGGGGAUACUAUUCUCUAUUGAGAAUUGAUUGGGCUUGAAAAAGAAUUUGCUAUUUAAGAAAUGAGAUUGGUAUUUGUCAUUUACUUGCUUUUUAUAAGAUGGGAGAAAAACCAUUAAAGUUUUCAAGUAUGCCUUUAAACUGUCAUUCAUAAAUUUAUUUAAACUUGGCCUCAAAUGCUUAUUAUUAGUUAUUGGGCUGUCUUGGUCCAUAUUUCUAGCUGCGUGCUUCAGAACACUAAUUUAUUAAAUGCAACAUCUAGGCUCUCAUAGUUUCCAAUAAAAGAUUCACACUUGCUUGUACUUUCUUUAUUGAUGAAUCAUAGUGGUGCUAUAAAUGGUUGAUAUGUAAUUCUUUUUUAUUUUCAUGUUUAUAGUGCCAUAGGAUGCUUAAUACAUAGCCUUUUGUUUUGUGUUCACAGGAGAGGAUCUCUUAUCAAUUGCUACUAAUCAACCUAUCUGUUUUUUAGUAUUUCCUGGUAUGGUUCUUAACCAACCUACUAAUAUAAUGUACAGAAGUUAUUUUCUGAAUAUAAAUUUUUCAUUUUCUGUUGUUCCCUCAGUUUUUAUAUCUGGUUGUUAUAAAUUACUGGACAUGCUGAUCAGGUGUGUAUAAAACAUUUUUAUAAGAUCGUACCGACUGCCAGAAAAACUCAUGUACAUAACAGUGUCGAAAUGGUGAUGCUUUUUAAGUUCAAAAAUUGAAUCAACAGUUAAUAUAGAGAGUAUUAUAUGAAAAUUAUAUUUUCAAGUUCAAUUUUUUUUUUUUAAGUAGUUUCGGUUUUUCUUUUUCAGUAUACUUAUUUUCAGACGCCAAAUUCGACCAUUGGAACAUUUUGAUAUGAUGUGCAAGCAAGAUUCCAAGACUUCGCAUAGCUAUGCUACAAGCAGCUUGAAAAUAUUAUGAAACAUUGGAUUUUAAUGAGCCUUAUAGCUUCACCAAUAAUGGUUACAACACUUGCAACUUUGCUUCUGGCCGUUGUUCAAUACCAUUGGGGAAUUGCACUGCCGAGAAUUCUGACAAUUUAGAUUUACAAUUCCAUUCUAAGGUUUCAUGCAUUUUAUUAUUAUUUACAAUUCUAUCCACUUUGCAGUAUAACUAUUCUUUCUGUAGAAACAGUUCAGCGAAAAAGUUUACAAAUUUGUUGACACUAGCGUUGCGAAGCAACGGGUACAACUAGUAUAUAUAUAUAUAUAUAUUGGGCUGUCUAGGCUGCCAUCCUUAGGAUGACAUCCAUCUUGACAGCCCAUGUAGUGUGUUGAUUUUAAUCUGAUCCAACGUCUCAGAUUAGUUGUAUGCUUAUAACCUAAAACACUAUAAGGGUAAAUUUGUAAAUAGGCUAAUUAAUAUGCUUCCCUUGCCAUUUCUCAUGAAUUGAAUGUUCCAUUCUCACAACUGAACUUUUGAAGAAACCUCUCUCUCUCUCUUUCU